rnacentral:lncRNA from 1 species
CUGUCAUAUGUCAAUAAUUGUUUUAAUUUUUUUAAAAAAUUAUUUUUCUUCCAUCUUCUUCAAAUUUCAUUAAAAUGCAUUUGAAGCUUUGGGGAAUUUUUUUUUUUCUCAUUAAAAUGCAUUUGAAGCUUUGGGGAAUUUUUUUUUUUUUUUUUUUUAUUAAAAUGCAUUUGAAGCUUUGGGAAAAAUAAAAUAACGACCGACCACCUUAGAGUCUCCUAUUGCUUGGAUUUAUGAGCUACUUUAAACACUUUAUUUUUUCUUUUUCUCUCUCAUCUCUCUCAAUGUCUUUUUUUCUUCUUCCGGGAAAAAUAAGAAAAUGAAGACAAAUUAUUUUGUUGUUUAUGAAGGAUAACAAAUAAAAUCUUAAGUUUUACAUUGCAACAAAGAUAGAAGUCAUACAAUUUUUUUUUAAUUUAUCAAGAAGGAAAUUUUUGGUAAAUAUACGACUUUGCUAAUUUAUCAAGAAAGAAAUUUUGGACAAAUAUAAUUACAUCUUUAUAAAAAAAAAUUGUGAAAGAAUAAAAAAAUGGUGAAAUUAGGACAGUAGAGGGAGUUAAAAAAGAAGUGAAAAAAAUCGGGCAUGUAAUUGAUUGAAGUAUAAAUUUGAGGAAGAUGAUGAAUAGAAGAGAGAAUUAAAAAAAAGGAAAAAAAUAUAAAGAAAAAUAAAAAAUAUUAUUUUAUAUUACUCCCUUCAUUUAAAAAAGAAUGACUAUUUUUCUUUUUAGUCCGUUUAAAAAAAAUGACCUUUCCUUUUUUGGCAAUACUUUAAUUUUAACUUUUCACAUGGCAUGUUUAAGACCACAAGAUUAAAGGAUAUUUUGGUACAUUUGACAUAACUUUAAUUUAAGACCACAAGAUUCAAAAGUCUUCUUUAUUUUCUUAAACUUUGUGUCAAGUCAAAGUAGGUCAUUCUUUUUUAAACAGAAGGAGUAAAAAAAUACGUGUUAAUUACUUCAUCUGUUAAAAAAAGAAUGACUUAGUUUGAUUUGGUACGGAAUUUAAGAAAAUAAAGAAGACUUUUAAAUUUUGUGGUCCUAGAUUAAAGUUAUAUCAAAUAUACCAAAAUAUCUUUUAAUCUCAUGAUUUUAAACAUGUCAUGUGAAAAAUUGAAUUAAAAGUAUUGCAAAAAAAAGGAUCAUUCUUUUUGAAACAGAUUAAAAAAAAAAAACAAGUCAUUUUUUUUUAAACGAAGGAAGUAAUAAUUGGUGUGUAGUCAACAUUUUUUUUGAAAAUUGAAUUUGAUUCAAAAAUGAUACUCAUAAUAAUAUCAAUUUAAAAUAAUUUAUGUGAUAAUAGGUCGCCCAUAAAGUUAAAGUAUUUUUUUACAAAUUUUUAAUAAGUUUUAUAUCUUUUCUCUUUGAUAUAUUUUUUUAGUUUACUUUUUUUUUAAAAAAUCAAGAUAUAAGAUAUCAUGUUAUAUUUUUUAUUUUUUAAAUUUCAUAUCAGGUCAAAAUAUAUCAACUAACUCUACAUCAAGAGCAGAGACGGAGUCAAGAUUUCAAGUAAGAGGGUUCAAUAUUCAAAGAAAACUAAGUCAAAAGGGGUUCAACAUCUACUAUAAUCACAUAAAAAAUAAUUUUAAUCAUAUAUAUAAAUAAUAUAUUUUUUUAUCGAAGGAAGUUCGGACGAACCCUUGACUGGCUCCACCUCUGACCAAGAGAGUAAUAAGAAAAGUUAUCCCUUCGCUUAAAAAAAAUGAUAACCCACCUACCUCAAACCAUUGCUGUCUUCCCUGGCUUCCUCCAAUCUCCACCGACGGUCAUUAAAAAUCUGGUGUACCCGUCCAUUCUUUUAUAAAAAAAAGAAAAAAGUAAAUUUAAAGAAGAUAUUUUUUGUUUCAAUUUUAUUUUUAUUAAUUUGCUUAUAUAUAUGUGUGUGUGUUAGCAAUUUUUAAAUUUUUACUUGAUAUUACUUGAGAUCGGAAAAUUAAAUAAUAAUUUAAUACCUUCUAUAUAUUUUUAGUUAAAGACUAUAUAUGAUUCAAUUUUUUUCUUUUAACUUUUUUAUACUUUAUAUUAAAUCAAAACAAAUUGAACGAAUUGAAAUGGAGAGAAUAAGUGUUUUUCUUACAUUGUUUCGUUUAAGUAUACAUUUUCUUUAAUCAUUAGAGAAGGCAGCUCUCUAUUUUCAAAUCGUACGUGAGUAUUAAACUUAUUAAUUGAGCAACCUAUUUCAAAGUGUCUUGAAAAUCUGGAUCAUAGGCCCUUUAAAUUCAUUGGGUACUAAAGCCGAACAUCAUAGAUCUAGGCAAUAUUGGAAAUAAGUAUUCCCUUUUAUUUCUAAAUAAAUAAGUACCUCCUCUGUCUCAAAUUAUUCAUCCCAAAUUUUUUAAUUUGAUUUCUCAUUUUACUUAUCUUUUUUUAUUAAUCAAGAAGAGACAAUUUUUUUUCCAUAUUUUACCCUUUAUAUUAAUUACUUUUUCUUCAAAUUAAAAUAUAAACAUCAUUUAAUAGAGAUAUUAUGGUAAACUAACCAUACUAUUAAUUAUUUUUCUUAAUCAAUGCAUCAUCUCAAUUUGGGACGGAUAAUUUGAAAUAGAGGAAGUAUUGUUUAGAUAUUUCCACCAUUCACUUUUACUUGUCAUUAAUUUUCUAAUUGAAUUCUACGCUUACUUGUCAUGUUUUACAUAUUAAGAAAAGACAAUGCUUUUUUUUUUUUUUUCUAUUUUACUCUUAAUAUUAAUUAUUUUUUUUAAAUUAAUUUUAAAAUACAAUGUAAAUAUCAUUUAAUAAGAGUACUAUGAAAAAAUAAACAUCUCAUUAAUUAUUUUUCUUAAUGAAUGUGUUAACUUAAAAUAUGACAAAUAAAACGAAAGGAAGUAAUCAAGAAGAUAUUGAUGAUAUUUUUUUAAUGUUAUUUUUUUUUAAAUAAAAAAGUUUUUACAUAUCAAGAUACUAAGAAUUACAUUAUUGCGAAGAUUUUUUAAUAAAGUAAAAAAAGUUCAAAUUAUUUUUCAAAUAUCUUUCACACUUAUUAGUACUAUAAUCAUAACAUAUAUUUUAUUGUAAACACAUAUAUAUUUUAUCAGUAGAAGUUUUAAUUGAUUAAUAGAUCGUCACUUUUACAUAUGUCAUGCAAUAUCUCUUUUUCUUGGGGUAAAAAAGAUUGCAUCAAUUUAAACCAUAUUUUAUAGUACAAUUAUUUUUAUUUUUUCUAUAUUUAAAAUAUUCUCUUAUUUUUAAAAUUAAAUCUUUAGAAAAAUUUUAAUUAAUUACUUAAAUUUUAAAAAAAUUUAGUACUUCUUAUAUUUUUUCUUAUUCUAACGCUUUCAUAUUUUUUCUUAGAUUUUGCAAAUCUUCUAAAAAUUAACUUUUGUUAAUUUAAAAUUCUUAAAUUAAUGAAAAAAAUAUUAGUUGUCAUUAAUUUUAAUAGCGUAUAAUAAUAAAAGAUUUUACUAUAAAUAUUUAUUUAAUUUUCAAUUGUUAAAUAUUUGAAAAAUAGUGAAAAAUUUUUGUUAUCUAAAUCAAGAAUUUUAAUAAAGAGCAAAAAAUUCAAAUAAUAUUUUCAAGACCUUUCACACUUUAAAUAUAAUAUAGAUAUUCAAACUAAAAACAUCAUUUAUUUAGAAAUAAAGUGGGUGGAAAAAGAGUGGAUUCAAAAUAUAUUAACACAUCAAUCAAUUACUCCUUAUUCUCAAAUUACUAGUUGGCAUAACACGACUCAACUAAGUUGAAAAAGAAAAGACAGUUACUAUGAUAAAAGUAGAACCAUUUUAUUUCGAUACAAAGUGCCAUUAAAGGCUUAAUAUGUGUUUAGGAAUACAUAAAAUCAUAUUAGUGAGUACGGAUUACAUAGUACCAGAUAUAUAGACGAUAGUUUCUAGAUCAUUCAUGAAAGGGUCGAAAGGCGUUUUCAGGUCCCCUCUAUUCCAUCAUGGUCUAUGAUUAUUUUAUUGUUACAAUCCUAACAACUUGGAGUACGUACUCCACAGGUUGAAGCAACUCUCCGGGCAUUAGGAGAGUUGACAUAUGGACGGAGAUUUGGAUUCUGGAGGUACCCACAAAGACAAGGUUUCUGCUCUCUCAACUUAGCGCAACAUACCGAAGAGGGUGGUUGUGAUGAUGUAAUCGCCCCGGCACAUGAACUCAGCUCCGUGACGCUGCAUGUCACGGCCUCAGUGACUAGCAAUUCACUAAGAAAAAGAACCAAGAACGUUGCAACAAAAGCACUACCCUUCUUCAUAUUCAAAAGCUUUGGAGAAAUGUAAGCAAUGGUAAGGGUGAGAGAUCUAGGGAACGAUGGUGUCUCAAUUUAUAGUGGAAAGUUGAAUAGAAGUGGACAAUCCAUUGUCGUGGAAAUGAAAUCUAUAGGGCCACAUUAUUGACUUUUUAAUAAAUGGCGUAUAAUUGUUGGAGACAUUGUACUAAAGAUGAUGAAAAUUAAUGCAUAUGGCUUGGUCCUACUAGAGAUUGGUGCUUUUGGCAAGAAAUGUUAGGUCAGUGGGGGCUCACUAAAAGCAAAAUCAAGUCUCCACCGGAAAGAGACGUAAUUUCGUAUUUUUACUUGACUAAGAAUUUAUAUUUAUCAAUAGUUACCUUCUAAUUGAUAUAAGUAGGUGUUUGACCAUGAAAAUAAAAAAUAUAUUCAUUUUAUUUGAAAUUAGUGAAUUACCUGCGCUUCGCAUGGCUAUAAAAAAAAAAAAUUAGUAAAUGAAUAUAUUUCACUAUUUUGUAAAUGAAGUAGUAUAUAACACUAGUAUUCCAGUCAAGACACUUUUGAUCUUUAUUGAUCUUAAUUUGAGAAAAUAUUUUUUAAAAAAAAAUAAAAAUAAAAAUUCUUUGCUACUUUUAAAGUACCUACUUUUUUAUAUACACAUUGUAGAACAAAUAAUUUGGAAUGUAUAAGUGAUGAAGUAAAUGGAACAAGAGGUCAUAUUUUGAAACCAUAAUUUAUGGAUGAAGUUGAAAAUAUUAUGUUCUGUUUUAACCUCUAUUUUUGUAGGAGUACUUGAUCUUUUAUGCAAAUGUCGAUUAUAAUUUCUAUCUUGUGCCUUUAGUGUUACAUUCACUUAUGAUGACAUUCUUUUACGCAUCAAAUAAAUAUUUUAAAAGUUAUGAAAAUGAAGCAAAGUAAGCCGAAGUUAUGAAAAAAUAAAAUAAAAUAAUUAAUUAUAAUAAUAUAAAACACAAGAGUGUGACAAUUAUUAAUAUGAUAUUGCACUAUAUAUGAUAUUUACAAUAUUUGUAUUUCAAAUAUAACAAUAAAAGAAAUUACAUAGAAAAGGGAAAAGAAAUCUAAACUAUGUUAUACAUCUUAAAAGAGUAUAUAUAUAUAUAUAUAUAUAUAUAUAUAUAUAUACAGAGAAGAUACAAUAUAUUAUUAAAAUUGGAGCAAGAAAUAACUAAAGCAGAUAAGCAGGUAGAAAUCUUUGAAGCAGGUAUGAGAAAUGAAAGAAGAGUUAAAGCGGAUGUUUUAUAAUAUGGUGUAAAUUCUACUCAGUACUUCCUCUUUCGUUGUCCUUAGUAUAGUGUAAGUGGACAAGUUAUAAAGAUCAAAGUAUAUUUUCUCCCAACUAAAUAAAAUAUUUUUUGUAUUUUUUGAUUUUAUUUUUAAUUUAUACCCUGUUAAUCCCUUUCUCUUUAGUUUUAGGUAUUUAGCAAUGACUUCUUUAAUCACACUCCGGGAUGACACAACAAUCCUUUCAAAUAUUUAUCAAACUUUUUUAAUUUCCUAGGAAUUUAUAGAUUAAUCCAUCGUUAUUGCUAAACACUGAGAGAAUAACCAUAUAGUAGGGGUAUAUUUAUAAGUAAAAUACACAUUUUUACAAGAUCAAAAAAAUGGUAGUAAUCCGCACGGCUAUCCAAAUCUAUAAUAAAAAAAUACAUCACUUCUACAAAAUCGAAAAACUGGUGGUAAUCCGCACGGCUAUUAGAUCUAUAAUAUUUAAAACAUAUCUGGAAGAAAAUAUGAACUUGAUAUAAUUUACAAAUUAGGGAGAAAAAUACAAAGAUCUAUGUAACGACUACUUACAUGACUUAAGGAAGAAGUGAUGUUUUUCUUUCGGGAGUCCCCUGAAAUCUAACAGCUACCGGAAUGAAGGAAUAAAAUAUUAAUAUACACUACACACUCUCUCUCUUUUUUUUUUGGAACAAACUAAGAAACUUUAUGAACAAAAACUUUAGAAGACUAUUUUUCUCACUCUUGAUUUUUCUCUUACUUCUCUCUAGCUAUAUGUCUUUAAGUCAUCCAUAAGGUGGUAUUUAUAGGCAUUCUGUGGACUUCAAAUAUCUUGAUAAAACUUUAGCAAGUUGGGUGGGCCCCGCAGUCAUAUAGUUAUGUUUCUACUUUAGCUCCCAUCUGUCCACCUGUUUCCCAUUUAUUCAUCUGUUAUAUCAUUGCAUACGUCUCUUAUUUUAUCUUUUUGUAAAUAUCGUCAUUGCUUACGUAUCCAAAUUGUGUAAUGCUUCUGAGUCGAAAUUCAUUCCUAAAUCAUUGUCCGCAUUUGGAUCUUGGGCAAAUUGAUCCAUGACCGAAUUGUAAUUUCGAUCAUACUUGUCAUUGUCUCUGUCUGAUAGUCCCAGUUUUGUUCCUGUUCUGGGUGAUCUUAUUUUUUCUCUUGGAAUUCUUAAUCUUGGUUUUGGUAGUUCUAAAUUUAUUGUUAUUUCUUUGGGCAGUUGCUCUGCUAAUAAUUUUUUUAUUGAGUCUACUACUCUUUUUUCUAUAUUUCAUUUUUCAUUUUUCUUUUUUCUUAAGAAAAAACCUUUUCUAGUCUUGGAAGAGCUUUCUUCGUCUGUUGUCUGGGUACCUGUGGUCUUGAAACUGGUUGGGAGUAUUCUCCCUACACUUUUUGGUGAAGUGUCAGCCGUCAACGGAUUCGAUGAGUCUUUACCAGCUACCAUUUGAGCUGGACUAGCUGUAUCAUUACCCGAUACAGUAGGUCUUUCUAUAUUCAUUGGGGAAUACACGCCCAUUAACGGAUUUGAGGAGUUUUUACUAGCUACCGUUUGAGCUGGACUAGCUGUAUCUUUACCCGAUACAGAGGGUCUUUCUACAUUCAUUAGGGAAUGCACACCUUUUUUUAUUCAUUGUUGAAGAAGAUGAAGAACUCUUUGGGAUUAUUUGAGUCUCAUAAAUUUGCUGAGUCUAUUGUGAUGAUUCAUAAAGAAUCUUUAUACGAUCUUGUAAAAUACUUAUAUGUUCUAACAUUUGUCCUUUUUCAUUUAUAAGGUUUCAUCGUCUUGUCUUAAAAUUUCAUUAGCGUGAAUUAGUCUUUUAAAAGCUUCAGUCACGGAGGAACAAUGGUCACAAAACAUAAUUUUGUCUGUAUUUUUUUUAAUAUUAUAUUGAGAAACUUCUUUUAUAUUUGGUCUUAGGGCUAGAGUAAUGUAAUAGUUUGGCCCUAGAUUUCUGCGGACAUAAUUUAAUGCUUUUGUUAAAUCAUUAUAGCCUUUAUAGAGAUGAGUUGUAUAGUCCUUUACCGAAUCUAUUAUCUCUAUCCAUGUUUGAAAUACUCCCUGUGUCUUUCCCCUAAGAACAACAUAAAAUUUAAAUCUGUUAGUACUGUUUUUCUCAGUAAAAUAUUAGCUUAAAGCAUUUACAACUGAAAUAAAAUAUCUAGUGUCUCUAGGUGUCAUGUUGUAGGAAAUCCAUAAAUUAUCGAUCAGGCAGAUCUGUGGUUUGUCCACCCUUACAUCUGGUCUAACUUUGAAAGUCAAAUUGGAUGGCUCAUAACUGAUGAGAUUGUGAGGUCCGAAGAUUAGUCUUUCUAAUUUUGGAUGUUCCAACAUUAUUAGUGGCCUGUAAUGAGUGUUGCUUUAUAGUUUGUUUAAAUAGUCUUGAGAGGAUGAGGCGUCUGCCUUUCCUUUGUAUUUGCCUGUAUACAUUCUGAAACAAAAAUUGUUAGUUCUUUUUUUUAUUAGUCUACUUAGUUGAUCUGCUAGGUUAUUGUCUUUUCCUUUAAUAUGUUAUAAAAUAAUAUUGUAAAUGGAAGUGGCAUCUAGGAAAUUUAACCACCUCCUUUUACUACUACUCUUUCUUUAAUUUUUUGAUAGAAUUUUACCAUAGCCUCGUAGUCUGUUCUUACUAAUAUUUCAGGCUUAUUUAAUAUAUAAUGUUUAAAACUAUUUAAACCAUAAAUUACUGCUAGUGUUUCUGCGUCUAUGCUAUUUAAAUUGCCCUUUGCUUUAUAUUUUCCACUUGAAUAAGCACAAAAUUUUUCAUUUUUUUUUAUCACUAUAUUUAUUGGGUUUUGCCUUUAAUAUUGCUCCCCAUCCAUGAAGGCUUUCACCUGUCUCUACUAUUAGAUAAUCUAUUUCUAAGGGUAGCGUUAAGUCCGGGAUAUCUUGGAUCAUGCACUUGAGUUGUUGGACUAAUUUUAUGUCUUCACUAUUAAAGUUUUUUUGGUCUGUUGAUCCUGUUUUAGAAUAUAACGGUCCUGCUACUUUUCCCAAGUCUUUAAUAAAAACUCUAGCAUAGUUUAGUAGUCUUAAUUUUUUUUGUAAAUUUUUGGUUUUAUCUAAUCUAUCUGACAUUUUAAAGACUUUUUUAGCUAUGUGAGAUUGUAGUUUUAUUCUUCUAUCUCCAAUAACUACUCCUAAAAAAAUAAUACUGUUUGUACAUAAUUUCAUUUUCUUUCUACUUAUUAUUAUUAUUAUAUUAUCUACAAAUAAUUUAAAAACUUGUUGUAAAUGUCCUAAAUGUUCUCUCAUACUAUUACUAAAGACUAAAAUAUCAUCUACAUAAACCAAGACAAAGUUUUUAUAGUCUCUAAAAAUACCAUUCAUUUUUCUUUGAAAAAUUGGAGGCGCUGUCUUUAGUCCGAACGGCAUAACCAACCACUCAAAAUGUCCUUCCGGACUUGUAAAGGCUGUCCAUUCUAUACUAUCUUCAUGCAACUUAAUCUGCCAAUAUCCGAAUUUACAAUCAAAUUUACUAAAUAUUUUUCUUCCUUGUAUUCUGUUUAUUAAUUCUAUUUUGUCUGGUAACUUAUACCCAUCCAUUAUAAUAUUAUCAUUUAAUCUUUUGUAAUUUAUUACCAUUCUAGAUUUUUCUCUUACUAUUUCACUAUGGUUUCUUACUAUGAAAGCUGCUGAUCUAUGUCUUGCUUUGGAUCUUCUAAUUAUCCCGAAUUCUAGUAGCUCUUUUAUUUGUAUUUCAAAGUCUUUAAGGUCUUCAUUUGUAGCUUCUAUAGAUUCUGUUUUUAUAGUAUAUUCUGGAUUAAGUAUUUCUAAUUUGUAGGUAAUUUGAUUGGAGUCCUAAUGUUUCAAGGGUUUUUGUCCAAUUAUCUCUAGUUUGUCUAGGAUUUGUAUUAUUUUAUCCAGGUCUUUUUGAUCUUUGAUUACCCCUAUCUGUUGUAUAUCAUUCCUAAAAUUGUAUAAUUCGGUAUCUAGUUUUAUUAAUGCGUAAUCUUUUUCUAUUUCUUCUACUGUUAAUAGAUCUUGUAAUUCCUCAUACAUUGUUACCUUUUUAUUAUAAUUACAAGUACAAUUUUCUGUUUCAUCAUAUUCUAGAGUUUUUUUUUCGAUUUUAUUUGAUCAUUUGAACUUUCGAUUCUUUCUUCUAUCUUAUCUUUAAGGAAAUAAUAUUUAGUUAGCAGGGGUUGUGUCUGUACUGGUGAGUGAGUGAUAUUGCUAGCGAAUCUUACCCAAUUUUUUGUAAUAAAACAUUCGCCAUUAUUUUGCAUCGUAGAAUCUAAUCCUAAGACAAAGUCUGUCUUUAUGUUUAAAUCUCCAACUAGUAUUUCAUUGAGUGUAUAUGAUGGUUGAUAGAAUUUUUCACAAGUAUUAAUAAAAAUUACCUUUGCUUUUGGUAUAUAGUCUGUAUAGGUAUUAUGGGUUCCGUCCAUUUGCAUGGAUUGUUGAGGUCUUGGCAAGUUUUUAAUUAAUUUUGAUGGUAAAAUUCUAUUUAACUUUAUUAUUUUCUACUGAUGUAUUUAAUAAUUCUAUCUCUACUAAAUCUUCUUCUCUAAUUAUCUCUUUACUGUAUACUCUUAUCUCUAAUUUUUUUAGUCUUUCUUCUAAUUGUAAUAUUCUGUCUUUGUUGUUCUGGUUAUUAGUUCAUUCGUGUAGCAAUUAUUUAAAUUAUUUAUUGAUAUUGGAAUUUCUAGGAUUUUUGAGGUUUUUUCUAUACGUUUUAUGCAUCCUUCUUUAUAGCAUUUCUUACAUUUUACCCCUUUGUUUUUACUUGAAAACCAUUUAAAGAAACAACACUGGUUACUAUCUAAUUCUUUUCCUUCCCCAAAUUCAUGUUCACAUUCUUCUAUCAAAUUUACUAAAUCAUGAUAGUCUAAGUUCGUCUUUUCUAAUCCUAUUUUAUUUAUAAAUUCCUCUUCUCCAGAAUCUGAAAAAUCAAAUUUAUCUUUUUCUUCUUCAAACACUUCCAUACUCCUGAUGGAGUAUAUACUUUUAUUAUCUAACAUAUAUUCAUCCACAUUUAUCAGAUUUUCAUUUACAUCUUCUAUUAAUUGUGCAUUCCUAGAUCUAUAUUGUUUCCUUUUGGACAAGUAUUUGCUAAGUGCUCUACACUCCCACAGGUAAAGUAUUCUAAUCUAUUUUUGUAGGUUCUACUGGUGUUAUAUUUUCUUACAUGUUUAUUCUUAUCUAGAUAUGACUUUUUUGCGUUUGAUCUUCUUAAGUAAUAUUUCUUCCUAGGGUGAUAGUCUUUUUUAUAUGCCUUUUUAUAUUUUUUCUUUUUAUAAUCUUGGUCAUAAUGUUAUGCAGUAUAUAUAUUUUUACAAAAAUCUGUAUCACUUUUUUUUAAUUAUUUUUGUAUCUGUAUAUUUUUACAUUUUUCUUGUAAUAUAUCUAUUACAUGUUGUAUUCUUUGUCCUAUUGACCAUUGGUUGUUUAGGUUUUGUAUUACUCCUUCUCUUUUGGACUAUUUUUCUUCUAUUUCUCUUCCUAGAGCCCCUAGUAAUUUUUUAAAUAAUCUAUCUCCUAGAGUCUGAUCAAAUGAGUUUCCACUAAUUGUACAAUAAUAAAAGUAGUCAUUUAGAAAUUCUUUAAUCCUUGACCAAUUAUUAAUACUUAGUUGUUCUAAAUUUAUUAGGGCUUUUUGCUGCAAUACCACUAAUCCACUAUUGGGAUCUUCUCCUGUUAGUAAAGUAUGUAGUUUGUUUACAAAAUUGUAUGAAUUUGAACCUAGUUCUACUAAUUAAUGAAAAUCCUGUGGGAAUAAUGUCUUGUAUGCUUCCCAUAGUGCUUUAGUACUUUCUCCUAGAAAUGUUUCUAAAUAUAUAUACAUAAUUUCUACAUCUGGUUCUUGAUUCCCCUAUAUAUGUUGUAUGUAGUCUGCUACAACUACAUUUUCCCUAUGUCUAUUAUAUUAUUCCAAGCCUGAGGAUUAUGAGCUGGUAAGUUUAAAAUUUUUCCUUUAUUACCACCUCCUUUUAAUCUAAUGGGUUCUUCUAUUGGCAUUUUUUUCCUCUAGGUUUUAUGUCUUGUUCAGCUGGAGUGUCUGGGUUUAUUCUAAAUACCCUAUAUCUUGGUAAAUUUUUUGUUGUUAUAUUUACUCUUUGCGUUCCGGUUGUUCUCUAAAAAGGGCUUAUAGUACUUGUCGCCCUUUCCAUAAAUUCUUUUAUACUUUCGUCUAUACUAUAUAUCGAUUCUGAGUGUUUGCCUUUUCUUUUCUUCUUAUGUGUAUAACCAUAAUUAUCUGUUCUUAACUCAUAAUUUAUAACAUGUUCUUUAGCUUUGGCGAGAUUAAGAUUUCGCAUUUUACAGCCUAUACAUUUGAACUUUCUGUCGUUAUUUGUUUUGUAUAGGGCUUCUGCUUUGAUUAUAGCUUUAUUCACUUCAAAACCUUCUUCUAAUACUUCUACAUUCAUAAAAUUAGAAUUUUCACAUUCUUCAAUUUCUUCAUCAGUUUCUUUUUCAUUUGUAUAUUGGUAAAUCUUAUUGAAGUUUAUUCUUUAGUGUAUAUAUACAUUAAAUGAUCGGUUGGCUUUAGUAUUUCUUUCUUAGUAAAUUUUUCUAAGUUCCAUUCUAGUCCUGCAUAGUCUUCAAAAUUUAUCUUUAGGGGUUUCAUUAAUUUAAUACCUUUAUUUUCCAUUAAACUUACUACAUCAUCUAUUCUUAAUCUAAAUUUUGUAUUACUAUUAGUGGCGAGUUUUCCUAUAAAUCCUACACAUAUUAAUAAAUUUUUUCCAUUAUUCAUUUCUUCAUAUCCUUUAGUCUGGAUUUCUAUCUUUAUAUAUUUUCCAAAUUCUAGAGAAUUUAUCAUAUAAUCUGGACUAAAAUAAAAAAGUCAUCCAUUUGUCAAUAUAUCUACUUCUGUUAUUCCAAUUAUAGAUCUUUUUGAGUCUGACUAUCUAUUAUCAUAGAUUGUAACUAAUACUUUGGUUCUUAGAUUUUUUCUGGUUAGUCCUUUUAGGCCUACUACUAUGAGUCCUAUGUGCAUGAGGCUUAUAUUUGACUUGGCAAUUUGUCUUAAAGAUUCUGAACUUAUUAGAUUUAUACUAAGACUAUCUUUACCUAUUACGCAUAAUUGUUCUUCUCUAUAAUGUUUAUAUAAUUGUGUUAUUGAAAACAUUCCUUCAUUAUAUAGUGUCUUGGCACUUAUUAAUUUUAAUUUGUUUUGUUGAAAAAGUUAUAUAUCUUUAUCUAUAUCUAAAAUUUCUUCUAGCUGUUGUCUUGGUGUCAUUUUUGGUCUGUUUAUUAUUCUAGAUAGUACAUUAUUUGUUAAGCUAUUUUGGGUAAAACCUGAUCUUGGUCUACUUGGGGAUGCUGAAAAAAGGUCCACGAUUUUUUAGUAGUGUUUAGCUUUUGUUUCUCCUUUUAAGGAGUUAAUUCUAAUUUCUGUAGUUGUUCUAUUAAUUCUUCUAUACUAGCUUGUUGUUCGAUCUGAGCUUUUUCUUGUUGUUCUAGUUGAACUUUUUCUUCAAUUACUUUUUCUAGAUUUUUAUUAAGUUCUAAUAGUAGUAAUAUUAUAAUAUUAUUUUAUUUUAUUAUUGUGGAGUCUCCUUUUCUUUGGGGUUGAUGAUCUGAUAAUCCUUCGGGAUUUGAUUGAAUUUGUGCCGCUUUUUGUAAUAUUGCUAAGUAGAGUUGAUCAUUUAUAGAGAUGUUAUUCAUAAGAGGGUCAUUUCUUUAAGUUGACUAAUUUCUUUACGUAUUUCUUUUAAUUCUUUUUCUAUGUUAUUUAUACUAAGAAAAUUUAUAUCCUAAUUUGUUAUUACUUUAAUUUUUCUUUCUAGUUCUAUUUGUUGAUUUUUUAGGAAAUCAAAAUUCUAUUCUAUUUUAUCUAACAGAUUCUUUGUUUAAUUUGCAUUUUUUCCAAUACUUCUAGAGUCUUUAGUAUUUUACUGUCUUCUCUUUGUACUGCUUCUCCUAGAUUUAUUAUGAGAUCUGUAAUAGUAUUUAGUUGAGAAUCUUCUCCAUGCAAAAUAUGUUCUCCACUACCGCAAUUACUUUUAAUGAUUGAUCAUCUUUUAUUUGUCUGUGUCUCUUUUCUACUUUUAAUUGCAAAUCUAGAUGUUCUAUUUUCUUAAAGAAAUCUAUUUUAAUGUUUUUAUCCUAGCCAAAAUGUCUCUUUAUUACAUUCUUCUCUAAUUGAUUUUAUUCUAAUAUUCCAAUAAUCUAUACAAUAUCCAAUCUGUUCUAAUUUACUUUUUAGCCGGAUUAAGUGGUCUAUACAGCCUAAAUUUUUUUUACGAAUUGAAAAUAUAAUUGCUUCUGGUAAAUCUAUUGAUUCUACUACUCUUAUUUCUUCUAUUACAUUUUGUUCCCUUGUUAGAAUUCUGUUUAAAUGUUUUAAGUUUUUAUAUAAAUAGUUGUAUGGUCUUUGAACUUGUCUAGCAACCGGAUGCGUUUUCAUGUACUUUUACUUAUUUUUAUCCUAAAGGAAUAUUUACUAUGUAACACAAUUUCUUUAGAUAACUUACUGAUACAAAACUAUGUGUGUAUCAAGAUAUUUCAACCAACACAAGAACAACAAGAUGAACAACAAGUUUCUAGUGAAUCGAAAUAGGCCUCACACGGCUUCACUAGAAUUUGAAUUUGUGUUUUUAACAAGAAAAUAAGAUGAAUAACAAGAUAACAAUGCUAGUGAAUUGAAAGAGCCCCACAUGGCUUCACUGGACUUUUAGAUUCAACAACACAAAGUUAACAAGAUUACAAAAGAGAUAGAAACUUAACACACAAUAUUCAAAGAACCUCAAAAAUAAGAAAGGACCCUAAGAGUAGUGAAUAUCAAUACCAAGUUCUUACUUGGAUCAAGAGGAACUCAAGAACCCCAAGAUCCUAGUUUCUAGCCAAGAGACAACACUAGUAUCACUCUACUAGUGAGUUUUUGAAAUUGGGGCUUCUCCAAUGGAAGAGAGAAGUUCCAAAAUAUUACAAGUGUUUUGUUAUCUUCCAAAAUAUGAAUGAACUAACUAAAAGACUAGCCCUAACAAAUGACUUAUAUAGUCAAUUACAAAGGAGGGAUAAAAAACCAAAAUACCCUUGGCAUUAAGUGGGUGGGUUUGGGGUGUUUUGUUGGGCCUCUUCACACUUUAAUAAGUAUAGGCCCUUAGAUGGACUCACAAGGGCCACACACAUGGCCAAAGAUGUGAACAAGGCUUGGAGUCGUUGAAACUCAUGUACUUGACUUCGUGUAAAAGGUUUCGAUCUAGGAAUUCCUGUAUCAUCCUCUCUAUCUUGAAGGAAAUUUGUCCUCAAAUUCGGAUCAUUGCUAUCCUUCACCGUUUCCACCCGAGAGAGGUUACACACAUUAAAAGUGUUGUGCACUUGAUAUUCCGGGGGUUGAUCAAUCUUGUAGGCAUUGUCAUUGAUCGUUUCUAAUACUUGGAACGAGCCAUCACCCCGUGGUAUCAACUUAGCAUACCUUUUAGACAGGAAUCUAUCCUUCCGUAGGUGCACCCACACCCAAUCUCCCAGUUCAAGAAUGAGCUUUCUUCUUCCUUUGUUGGUUUGCCUUGCAACUUCUUGGUUUUUAUUCUCCAACCGCAACCUCACCUUCUCAUAUAUCUUCUUCAUGGCCUCAACCCAUUUGCUUCCAUCUAAGCUUAUCAUAAAAUCACUUGGUAAAGGGGUUAAAUACAAAGGGGUGAGGGGGUUGAUGCUGUAUACACACUUAAAGGGUAUCAUCCCCGUCCUUGAGUGUAUAAUACGAUUAUAAGAAAACUCUAUCAACGUUAAGUGCUCCUCCCAAGAAGUCAUUUUUCCAUUAACCAUGGACCGUAGCAUAAACCCUAGGGUUCUGUUUGCUACUCGUUUGGCCAUCGGUUUGUGGGUGACAUGAAGUCAAAAACAACAACUUAGUACCGAGGCUACCCCACAUGGACUUCCAAAAAUGGCUUAGGAAUUUAGAAUCCCUAUCACUCACUAUGGUCCUCGGAAAACCAUGAAGUUUUACAACAUUAUCAACAAACAAAGAGGCUACACUAAGCGCAUCAUCAUAUUUAGAACAAGGAAUAAAGUAAGCCAUCUUGGAAAACCGAUCCACCACGAUAAAAAUACUAUCCUGUCCCCUUCUAGUUCUCGGAAAUCCCAACACGAAGUCCAUUGAUAUGUCAAGCUAAGGAUAAAAAGGGAUGGACAAUGGGGUGUACAACCCAUAGGGUUGAAGCCGUAACUUGGCUCCUUUGCACUCAACACAUUGGCUACAAUCCGGGCCACAUCCUUGUUCAUUCUAGGCCAAUAAAAUUGUUUUUUCAAAAUUUCGAGGGUCUUAUCGACCUCAAAAUGGCCCAUUAGACCGCCAUUGUGUGAUUCCCUCACAAAAAAUUCUCUCUACAAACUUGAGAGAACACAUAAUCGUCUACCCUUAAACAAGUAUCCAUCAAAUUUGAUAUAGGGAUGAGAACCCCUAUCCGUAACCCACCUAUCCCUAUCCAACUCUUUACUUUUCCUAUAGAUAGGAGCGAAGUGAGGGUCCUUGGGAUAUAAAGACUUGAGGCUUUCAAAACCCAUCAACUUAGAUGACAAAUUAGACACAUGCACAUAUUUUUGGGAUAAAGCACCAACAAUCACAUUGUCUUUACCAUUCUUGUAAUGAAUAACAUAAGGAUAAGUUUCAAGAAAUUUAAUCCAUUUGGCAUGCUGCCGGUUAAGCUUGUCUUGUGCCCGUAGAUGUUUCAAGAAUUCAUGAUCCAUUCGGAUCACGAAUUCUUUAGGCCACAAAUAAUAUUGCCAAGUGACCAAGGCUCUAAUCAAGGCAUACAACUCUAAAUCAUACGUAGAGUAGUUUAGAGUUGCUCCUUUGAGCUUUUCGCUAAAGUAGGCAAUAGGCUUCAAUUAUUGCAUUAGAACCGCACCUAUGCCGACUUUGCUAGCAUCAUAUUCUACCUCAAAAGUCUUAUCAAAAUUCAGCAAUUGUAGCAAAGGGGCCGAGAUGAGCAUAGCUUUUAAGUCCUCGAAGGCCUUAGCUUGUUCAUCUUCCCACUUGAAAGGAUGAUCCUUUUUAAUUACUUCGGUCAAAGGGGCGGCAAUAGUGCUAAAUCCUUUGACAAACCGUCUAUAAAAACUAGCCAACCCGUGGAGGCUUCUCACUUCACCUACAAUUUUAGGAGUUGGCCAAUUUUUAAUUGCGUCAAUCUUAGAUUCAUUCACUUCAACCCCUCUUGAACUCACCAUAAACCCAAGAAAUACAACCUCAUAGACACCAAAAGAACACUUUUCUAGAUUGGCAAUAACUUCUCUUUUCGGAGGACAUCAAACGCACAUUGUAAAUUCUUUACAUGCUUAUCUAAGGACUUACUAAAUACCAACACAUCAUCAAAGUAAACAACAACAAAAUUUUCGAUAAAUGGCUUCAUCACAUGAUUCAUUAGCCUCAUGAAAGUACUUGGAGUAUUUGUUAGGCCGAAUGGCAUAACCAUCCAUUCAUAGAGACUGAAUUUGGUCUUGAAGGUGGUUUUUUAUUCAUCACUUGAUUGUAUACGAAUUUGGUGAUAGCUACUCCUCAAAUCAAUUUUAGAAAACAAACACGAACCAUUCAAUUCAUCAAGUGUAUUAUCUAGCCUAGGAAUAGGGUGACGAUAUUUUACCGUUAUCUUAUUGAUGGCUCGGCAAUCAAUGCAUCUACACCAAGUUUCAUCUUUUUUAGGAACUAGUAGAAUCAUGACUGCACAAGGGCUCAUACUCUUCUUGAUGUACCCUUUAUUAAGAAGUUCCUCAACUUGGCGUUGCAAUUCCUUGGUAUCCGCCGGGUUGCUUCUAUCAGCCAGUUUGUUGGGUAAUUGUGAGCCUAACACAAAAUCUAUUUGGUGUUCAAUUCCCCGAAGUGGGGGCAGCCCUUGUGAAAAUUCUUUGAGGAAAACAUCUUCAUAAUCCUACAACACAUAAGAAAUCAAAGGAGAAAUAGAAAAAUUAGUGGGGUUAGUGUUAAAACAAUAUACCAAAAGAAGCAUGGGUGUGUCCUCAUCAUGAUCUACGAGGAGCUCCUUCUUUCUAACCAACAUCACCAUGUUUUAUUUUCCAUUUGAUGUUGAGGCAGCCCCGGAUACCCCCACUACCCCACCUAUAGGUUCCCCCUCCUUUUCUUUAUUUUCAGAUUUCUUCCCCUUUUCUUUUAAUUCUCUCAUCCUUUGAUGCAACUUGUUCACUUGUGAAGGCAAAAGGGGAUGAAGUGUGGCCUUUAGGCCAUCCUUCAAAAGUGAAUAUCUAUUAUACCUCCCAUCAUAUUUGGUAGACCUAUUAUAUUGCCAAGGUCUACCUAACAACAAGUGACACACUUACAUUGGUAUCACAUCACAAAGCACUUCUUCAUGGUAGUUUCCUACUUUAAAAUUUAUCACACAUUGCCUCAUGACUUUCAAUUCACCAAAUUCAUUCAACCGUUGUAACUUGUAAGGGCUAGUAUGAAGUGUAGUUGGCAAUUUCAAGAAGUUUACCAUAGCAACACUAACAACAUUUGCACAACUACCACUAUCUAUCACCAAAGUGCACAUACUUCCCUUCAAUAGACAUAUAGUAUGGAAUAGAUUCUCUUAUUGGCUAGGAUCGUCUAUCGCCUUAAUAAUCAUGGCACGCCUCACUACAAAGUUUGGAAUAACGCACUUCCUUUCUUGUGGAUAAGCAUCCUCACAAUCAUCAUCAUCAUCAUGUAGCUCUCUUUCGACUAUCUCUUCAUCUUGAGGCUCGGCCUCAUCCUCUUCUUUUUCAAGACCCACCUCCUCACCAAGGUAAUACAAUCUCCCUUUUCUUAAGAUCACAUUACAUCGGUGUGGACAUUCAUUGGUUUUAUGUCCCCAACCUUGACACUUAAAACAUUGGAACCCUUUAGGAUUAGGAUACUUGUGAGCUUCUUCCUGGAGAGGAAAUUUAUGGACUGCUUUAGGCUCGGGAAGCCUUGUAGUGGAGGGUUGGUCCUUGUUUCUAGGACAACCCGAAGAGGAUUGAACCAUAUCCUUGCCCUUUGGCCAACCCGAGGUUGAUUGUCCCUUUGCUUUUUAAGUUCCCUUUCAAUCUCAAGAGCCACUUGGAAAAUACCUUCGACGGUAUCAUACUUGUGAAGUAACAAAUGAGUGAAGAUCUCUUUGUUCAACCCACACUUGAACCGAAUGAUGUUAUAACUAAUUUGUUCUCCAUGAUGAUCAAGUUUCAACAUGAGUUGUUGAAACUCAUCAUAAUAUGCCAUCACGCUUUGAUUCCCUUGCUGCAAAUUGUACAAUCUAGCAAGCAAGUCAUGUCGAUAACUCUCGGAAAGGAACCAUUUUCUCAUUAGGUACCUCAACCAAAACCAAGGUGGUGGUUUUCCAUCAAUCAACUCAUUACCAAACCUUUGACGUAUUUCCACCAUGUGUUAGCAUAGCCUUCAAAGUGAGUUAUGGCGUAACUACUCUUCUUCUCCUCCGAAAUAUCAUUCACUUGAAACACUUUAUCACACGCCGACUCCCAAGAAAGAUACACCUCAGGGUUACAUUCACCCUUAAAGAUAGGUAGGCUCUAUUUGAUGGUAUUCAUGCCUACGUCUCUCUUUUGGUGUCGGUUUCCCCUUUCUCCAUACCCUUGGUAUCUUCUUGGAUCCACACGUCCCCUUCUCAUCUUUUCUUCCCUUAUAUAAAUAUCGUCAAGGGCUCCAUACCCUUCAUAAUCCUCUCUACCAUAUUCUUUAAAGUAGACGGGACGGUUUUGGAUGGUUGGAACUUAAUUUGGAGGGAUUGGAUUUUAUGAAGGUGGUGGUCUUUGGUUUAGUGGAGCUCGAAAGGGAGGGUUUGGAUUUAGUGGAGGUAUUGGAUGCCCAAGUCCCUCUUGUGGAACUUGAGGAGUUUGGGAAUGAGUUGGUCUAUUAGAGUCUCGGGUUAGGGGGUUAUGGGUGGUUUGGCUUGUGGUAUUUAGUGGAACUAGUGAAGGAUUUGGAAAUUGUUGCCAUGUUUCGGGAGUAACGGUGGUGGACAAAUUUCUAUCAUGUCCACUUGACGAAUCAUUUAAAGGAGUAGAAGGGUGAGAGUUCCUUUGACUCUCACUUGUUCUAACCUCCCACUAAUAGUCGUCACUUCUCCCCUUAUGACUCCUACUUCCGUACUGAACCUUUCAAGAGUUUGGGUCAUUGCCUCAAGAGUGACCCUCAUAUUCUCCAUUUCAUUGAAUCCACGAUUUGAGAUGUGGUUUCCUCCAUUGUUAAGGUAUCACCUACACAAGAAACAAACAAGUUAGUUUAAAACCUCUCCUCACUCACACUCUCUUGGAUCAGUCACAAUCGAGCGCCACAAGUGUUGUAAUUGGCUAGUAACCCAUGAAUCCUUAAGGUUUGAAUAUGCUCUUGUCCGGAGUGGAUUCUUGUUUGAAACUCAAAAAAUUCCUUUCGAACUAGAUUCAAGGAGUUACAAACUAUUCAAACGACAAAAACACACAAACAAACAAUGACACGAAUACAAGGCUUCAAGGGGCUAGUUGACAACCUAGUAGGAAUGUACUAGCUUGCUAAUUAGUUCUCGAGUCAAUUAGAAGAAACUAAGAAUCAACAAUUAGAAACUAAAAUAUAAAAAUUGAGCUUAAUUAAUUAUGUGAAUAGUGAUUAAGGUGACGUGACAGCAUGGUAUUGGUCACAGGUUCAUACAUUUUGUUCAACAACUUGAGGCCUUAAUCUUCACAAUUUUGUAAUGGAUGACUUUACUUUUGGAGAGAAAGUAAAGUCUUGUAACUUUUCAACUUUUUCCAACUCAAAAAGGUGAGGCUUGACUUUACUAGUUCCAUAAGAUAAGGCUCCUUGUUUUAAGGAAAAACGUUUGUUAAAUCAAGGAAGUGAUGUUGGCAAGUCUUCUCACAAACAACUUUACAACUUUUUUUUGCAACCUUUUUGGAUCUAUUUUAGUCUUUAUAGUGGUCAAGAUAUGAGAUGAGGAGAAGAUCAAGAUGAACACCACAACAAUACUUCAAGAACACAACCACAAUUAACCAAUAACAUCCCACUUUAAACAUCAAGCAAAAACAACACACAACUCGACCUACUUUAAGUUCAUCAUACUACCACUUAAAGUCCACAAUAGCAAUGUCAGUAUGUUAAGCUCAACUUAGCUUUAGAAACCUUUUGUGUUGAUGAGAAAGAAAUCAACACAAGAAACAAACUAGACCAAUAAAAGAACAUCUAGAUCUAAACACACAAACACCAAUCUCGGCCAACACACAACACAAGACAAUUUUCUCGGCCAAGAACAAGAUGGAUAGAUUUCUCUUUUUUUCUGGAAUUUUCAGAUUUCAAUAAUUUUUUUUGUAUUUUUCAACUACCAAGCCCAAGAUUGAUUCUGGUGGAACAAAAUCAACCACAAGAUUUGAUACCAAAUGAUACAAGACUAUGUAACAAGACUAUGUGUGUAUCAAGAGAUUUCAACCAACACAAGAACAACAAGAUGAACACCAAGUUGCUAGUUAAUCGAAAUAGGCCUCACACGGCUUCACUAGACUUUUAGUUUGUGUUUUGAACAAGAAAAUAAGAUGAACAACAAGGCAACAAUGCUAGUGAAUCUAAAGAGCGCCACACGGCUUCACUAGACUUUUAGAUUCAACAACACAAAGUUAACAAGAUUACAAAAGAGAUAGAAACUUGACACACAAUAUUCAAAGAUUUAAUAACCCCAACAAUGAGAAAGGACCCUAAGAGUUGUGAAUAUCAAUACCAAGUUAUUACUUGGACCAAGAGGAACUCAAGAACCCCAAGAUCCUAGAUUCUAGCCAAGAGACAACACUAGUAUCACUCUACUAGUGAGUUUUCAAAAGUGGGGCUUCUCCAAUGGAAGAAAGAAGUUCCAAAAUAUUACAAGUGUUUUGUUGUCUUCCAAAAUAUAAAUUAACUAACUAAAAUAAUAGCCCUAACAAAUGUCUUAUACAGUCAAUUACAAAGGAGGGAUAAAAAACCAAAAUACCCUUGGCAUUAAGUGGGUGGGUUUGGGGUGUUUUGUUGGGCCUCUUCACACUUUAAUAAGUAUAGGCCCUUAGAUGGACUCACAAGGGCCUCACACACGGCCAAGGAAGUGAACAGGGCUUGGAGUCAUUGCAGCUCACAUGCUUGGCUUCGUGCAAAAGGUCUCGAGCUAGAAAUUCCCGUAUCACUUAUCCUUCUAUUGUAAUAUUCUAUGUCGUUUCUAAUUCCAUGUAAUUUCCAUAUUAUUUCACUUAAAUAUUCUUUGAAUGAUUUUGAUUGUGAUAUUUCUAGAGUUGCUAAUAAUUUCAAAUAGUUACUCAAGACUAUUUCUAGGUCUACUUUGUCUGUCCUGUUCUUUAUUUCUUCAUUAAUGCCAAAAUCUUAGUCGUAAAUUGUUAGUAGAAGGAUAUGAUUUCAUUACAGAGCCUUAAGAUUACAUCCUAUACAUUAGAACUUUUUGUCAUUAUUUAUUUCGUUGCUUAGUAAUUUCUUUAAAUAGUCUUGAGAGGAUGAGGCAUCUGCCUUUCCUUUGUCUUUGUCUGUAUACAUCCUGAAACAAAAAUUGUUAGUUGUCUUCUUUUAUUAGUCUACUUAGUUGAUCUGCUAGGUUAUUGUCUUUCCCUUUAAUAUGUUCUAAAACAAUAUUGUAAAUGGAAGUGGCAUCUAGAAAAUUUAACCACCUCUUUUUACUACUAUUCUUUUCUUUUAUUUUCUGAUAGAAUUUUACCAUAGCCUCGCAUUUUGUUCUUACUAAUAUUUCAGGAUUAUUUAAUAUAUAAUGUUUAAAACUAUUUAAACCAUAAAUUACUGCUUGUGUUUCUGCGUUUAUGCUAUUUAAAUUGUCCUUUUCCUAUCCGCGAAGGCUUUCAUCUGUCUCUACUAUUAGAUAAUCUGUUUCUAAGGGUAGCGUUAAGUCCGGGGUAUCUUGGAUCAUGCACUUGAGUUGUUGGACUAAUUUUAUGUCUUCAGUAUUAAAGUGUUUUUGGUCUGUUGAUCCUGUUUUAGAAUAUAACGGUCCUUAUACUUUUCCUAAGUCUCUAAUAAAAGCUCUAGCAUAGUUUAGUAGUCCUAAAUUUUUUUGUAAACCUUUGGUUUUAUCUAAUCUAUUUGCUAUUUCUAAAACUUUUUUAGCUAUGUUUCAUUGUAGUUUUAUUCAUCCAUCUCCAAUAACUACUCCUAAAAGAUUAAUGCUGUUUUUACAUAAUUUCAUUUUCUUUCAACUUAUUAUUAUUCCAUUAUCUACAAAUAAUUUAAAAACUUAUUGUAAAUGUCCUAAAUGUUCUCUCAUAUUAUUACUAAAGACUAGAAUACCAUCUACAAAAACCAAUACCAAGUUUUUAUAGUCUCUAAAAAUACUAUCCAUUUUUCUUUGGAUAUUUGGAGGAGUUGUCUUUAGUCCGAACGGCAUAACCAGUCACUCAAAAUGUCCUUCUAAGCAUGUAAAGGCUGUCCAUUCUAUACUAUCUUCAUGUAUCUUAAUCUGCCAAUAUCCGAAUUUAUAAUCAAAUUUACUAAAUAUUUUUCUUCCUUGUAUUCUGUUUAUUAAUUCUAUUUUGUCUGGUAACUUAUACCCAUUCAUUACAGUAUUAUUAUUUAAUCUUUUGUAAUUUAUUACCAUUCUAGCUUUUCCUCUUACUAUUUCACUAUGGUUUCUCACUAUGAAAGCCUUGCUUUGGAUCUUCUAACCAUAAUUAUUGUUCUUAACUCACAAUUUAUAAAAUAUUCUUUAGCUUUGGCGAGAUUAAGAUUUCCUAUUUUACAACCUAUACAUUUGAACUUUGUGUCGUUAUUUAUUUUGUAUAGGGCUUCUGCUUUGAUUAUAGUUUUUUUUCACUUCAAAACCUUCUUUUAAUACUUCUAUAUUCAUAAAAUUAGUAUUUUCACAUUCUUCAAUUUCUUCAUCAGUUUCUUUUUCAUUUGUAUAUUGGUAGUCUGUGAAUCUUAAAAGUACAUGAAAAUGCAUUCGUUUGCUAGACAAGUUCAAAGACCAUACAACAACUUAUAUAAAAACUUAAAAUAUUUAAACAGAAUUCUAAAAAAGAAACAAAAUUUAAUAGAAGAAAUAAGAGUAGUAGAAUCAAUAGAUUUACCAGAAGCAAUUAUAUUUUCAGAUCGUAAAAAAUUUUAGGCUGUGUAGACCACUUAAUCCGGCUAAAAAUUAAAUUAGAACUCUAGCUACCGUUUGAGCUGAACUAGCUGUAUCAUUACCCAUUUUAGUACUUUUUUCUACAUUCAUUGGGAAAUGCAUACCCAGGUUCAAAUCCAUACAAUUUUAUAAACAAAGUACAUAAACUAACAAUUUAUAAAAUGUUCUUUAGCUUUAACCGGAACGCAAAGAGUAAAUAUAACAAUAGAAAAUUUACCAAGAUAUAGAGUAUUUAGAAUAAACCCAGACACUCAAGUUGAACAAGACAUAAAACCUAGAGGAAAAAGAAUGCCAAUAGAAGAACCCAUUAAAUUACAAAAAGGUGGUAAUAAAGGAAAAAUUUUAAACUUACCAGCUCAUGAUAUGCCACCUUAUGAAUAACUUAAAGACAUAUAGCUAGAGAGAAGUAAGAGAAAAAUCAAGUGAGAAAAAUAGUCUUCUAAAGAUUUUGUUCAUAAAAUUUCUUAGUUUGUUAUUAAAAGAAAAAGAGUGUGUGUGUAGUGUAUAUUAAUAUUUUAUUCCUUCAUUCCAGUAGCUGUUAGCUUUCAGGGGACCCCCGAAAGGGAAACCUCACUUCUUUCUUAAGGCAUGUAAGUAGUCAUUACAUAGAUUUUUGUAUUUUUCUUCCUAGUUUGUAAAUUAUAUCAAGUUCAUAUUUUCUUCCAGAUGUGUUUUAAAUAUUAUAGAUCUGGUAGUCGUGCGGAUUACUGCCAGCUUUUUAAUCUUGUAGAAGUGAUGCUUUUUUAAUUAUAGAUCUGGAUAGCCGUACGGAUUAUCGCCAGUUUUUCGAUCUUGUAAAAAUGUGUAAUUUACUUUUUGAUAUUGUAAAAAUGUGUAAUUUACUUAUAAAUAUACCCCUAGUAUAUGGUUAUUCUCUCAAUGUUUAGCAAGAACGAUGGAUUAAUCUAUAAAUUCCUAGGGAAUUAAAAAAUUCUGAUAAAGAUUUGAAAGGAUUGUUGUGUCAUCCCGGGGUGUGACCUUCUUCUAAUACUUUUAUAUUCAUAAAAUUAGUAUUUUCACAUUCUUCAAUUUCUUCAUCAGUUUCUUUUUCAUUUGUAUAUUGGUAGUCUGUGAAUCUUACUGCUUUAAACACUUCCAUACUCAUGAUGGAGUAUAUACUUUCAUUAUCUGACAUAUAUUCAUCCCCAUUUAUCAGAUUUUCAUUUACAUGUUUUAUUAAUUGUGCAUUCCUAUAUAUAUAAAGAAGGCUUAGAAAUAUGCUAAUGCGGCAUACUUCUGUGGCCUCCAUUCCUAAUUUUUCCUCAUUUUUUGACCUUUGUUUGUAUUUUUCCUUGUUUUAAAAGUGAAUAAUUAAUCAUAUUCUAUCCUAUUUACUAAGUAUCAUUAAAUUCUUUAACAAUCAUAUUAAUUUAUUGUCAAUUUGUUAUUAUAUUAAUUAUUAAUUAUGAAAAUGAAGCAAAUUAAGCCGAAGAUAUGGAUAAAUAAAAUAAAUUAGUAAUAAGUUAUAAUAAUAUAAAACACAAGAAUGUAACAAUUUUUAGUAGGAUGUUGCACUAUAUAUGAUAUUUAUAAUAUUUUAUUUAAAUUAUAUCAAUAAGAAAAUCACAUAAAAUAGAGGAAAGAAAUCUAAACUAUAUUAUACAUCUUAAAAAAAAUCGAUCGCACUACUAUAAAAUUACCAUAAUAUUGAUUUUCAUGAUUAUAUUUACUUGAAGGAGGAUGAUAAAUAUGUAAAAAAAAAAAAUUAAAAAUAAGAAAGAAUAUCAUAUACAUAAACAUGAAAGAAUAUUUGAGAAUGAAAUAUUUAUGAUACUACACUAUAUAUGAUAUUUAUAAUAUUUCUAUUUCAAAUAUAUCAAUACAAAAUUGACAUAGUAAAGAGGAAAGAAAUCUAAGAUAUAUUAUUCAUUUUUUUUAAAAAUUGAUUGCACUUCUAUAAAAUUAUCUUAAUAUUGAUUUUCAUGACCAUAUUUACGUGGAGGAGGAUAACAAAUAUGUAGAGAAAAAAAUGUUAAAAGUAAGAAAGAAUAUCAAAUGCAUAAACAUGAGAGAAUAUAAAAAGAAAUAUUUUGCCUUCAUAUACCCAUUCUUAUUACAUGCUAUAAUUUACAAACCAAAGAGAUAGAGAAGAGAAGAGAAAGAAUAUUUUUGAAUGGGAGCUUUCAUGAAACAAAUAUGAAUUUAUAUAGGCAAAAUAGAGGAAUACCAUAAGAUAUUAGAAAUUUAUAAAUUAAUGUAUGGGAGUUAUAGACAUAAAAAUUACAAAAGUUAUGGAUACUAUUAAAUGAAUAAAUUUAAGAGGCAUGAGUUAUGAAUAGUAACUCCUUUAAAAAUCAUUAUAUAUAAAAAAACAGUUACUCCUUAUAAAUACUUUAUGUUAAAAAAAACCACUUGAAAUAUCAAAGGAUGUUAUUAUUUUAUAAUUAUAGAAAGAUUUUAAAAAAAUCUUUUAAAAAAAAGGCGCAUUACUUUAUUUAUACACACAUUUAUAACAAAUGAAAGGGAUUAAAAAUUAAAAAAAAAAAGACACAAUUGGAGUGACUUUUCAAUUCCAUGUACAAUAAUUAAUAAUUAAUAUAAUAACUUAUUGGCAAUAAAUUAUUAUGCUAUUAAAGAAUUUAAUGAUGCUUAAUAAAUAGGAUAGAAUAUAAUUAAUUAUUCAAUUAAAAAAUAAGAAAAAAUAUAAUAAAAGGUCAAAAAAAUAAGAAAAAAGAAAAAUAAGAAUGGAGACCUUAGAAGUUUGCCACAUAAACAUAUUCCUAAGCCCCCUUUAUAUACAUAUACAUAUACAUACAUACAUGCAUAUAUAUAUAUAUAUAUAUAUAUAUAUUGAGAGAGAGAGAUUUUUGAAGUUGAAGAUAGAAUUGAAAUUGUGUUUGACCAUAGUAUUUUGGAAUUAAUACUUAGAAUCAAAUGUAUUUAUUUAAAAAAAUAAAUUAAAAGUGAGAAUAAUUUUUUUUAAGAAUAGAAUUUUAUGAAAUGGAGUUAUUUGAUGAAAAUAAAAAAUCUAGAUUUUUUUAAAAAUAAUUAAAUAGUGAAAACAGUGAAACUAAAUUUCUAAAAACUAGUGUACAAACAUUUUUUGCACAUAAAAUUUAAACCUCUUUAUUUUAGGGAUGUAUACACACACACACAUACAUAUACAUAUAUAUAUAUAUAUAUAUAUAUAUAUAUAUAUAUAUAUAUAUAUAUAUAUAUAUUUUUCUCAAUAAACUAGUUGGAACAAUAUGGAUGAAAUAUAUAUAACAUAGAAACUAUCAUUGUAUAUUUUGUGUAGUAUAGGUAUAGUGUGUGUAUAUAUCUUUACAGUAUACACUCCAUAUAUAUUUUGUCAAUUAAAUGGGUGGAUGUUUCAUAUCUCUUAUUUACUUCGGAAAAGGGCUUAAAAUAUCCUUCAAUUAUUGAAAAUGAUGAAAAUAAACCCUCCUUCCAUCUUUGGAUUCUAAAAUACCCUUCCAUCCACCUAUUUGGCCCUAAUUUACCCUUCUUCUUAAUGGACAAAUGAUUAGAAUUUUAACUUAACAUGUGACAGUUUCUUAUUGAUUGAAUUUUUAUUAAUCAAAAAAGAAAAAACUAAUUUAACCCAAAUCACUAAAAUCUACCUAUCCACCGAAUUCAAAUCACUAGAAAUUAGAUUGAGCUUGAUAUUUUCACCAACAAAUUGACCGCCUUCAACAAUUGUUUCUUGUCAAGAAAAAUAAAUAUGAACAAACUACAAGUCACGCAGUCAAUAUUGAAGAAGUAGAUGACAUAACAUCAAUGACAGACCCUUAGUAAUAUGGAAGUAUAUUGGGAAAAGAGAAAAAAAGUAACUGUCUCAACUAAUAUCAAACAACAAACAAUCCAAGAACGAAAAAUUAAAUAUUUUUUAUUUUAAAGAAAAGGAACUGUGAUCACCACCACUAGUUUUGAAGUACAUGGAGAACAAACUAUCAGAGAGCAAUAUGAUAAAGAGAAAAAAUUAUCACAAAUAGUUUUGAAACACCAUGUUUAAUAUUAACAUGAAAUAUCUUCAGCUUCUUGUCUUACUUGUAAUAACAACUUACACGUGAAACAAGAAAUCAAGGUUGUUGUGGUGUUAUUCUAGUGAUUUCUGAAGUCAAUCAAAUUGUUGAUGGAAAUAAAGCUCAAUCAAUUUUGUAGUGAUUUGGAUCAGGUAGGUUUUAGUUAUUUAGGUUAAGUUGAUUUUUAUUUUUUUGAAUUUUUGAUUAAUAAAAAUUCAGCAAAUAAGAAACUGCCACGUAUUAGGUUAAAAUCCUAAUCAUUUGUCUUUAAGGAGAAGGGUAAAAUAGGUCCAAAUAGAUGGAUCAAAGGGUAUUUUAGAGUCCAAAGAUGAAAGAAGGGUAUAUUUGCUCUAUUUUCAAUAGUUGUAGGGCAUUUUAGGUCCUUUUUUGUAUUUACUUUUACUUACCAAAUGUUACUUUGAAGCUGCAAAUUUCUAACCGGUGGAAUUCCAUUCACACACCCCUUAUCAUUAAUAUUUGUUGAAAAAUCAGAAAAGUUGAAAAUUUUUUGUUUGUGAAAAAAAUGGGAGACUGUUAUUAAAUAUAAAACAAAGAACAAGAAGAAUGGAGAGAAGACAAGAGACUUAUUUAUUUCUCAUGAGGAAUUCUUGAGGGGUCAACUAUAAUGAAGGAAACCCCCUUUAUUUAUAGGGAAAAAUUAACCUUAGGGUUUCUAACUUUUUCAUAAAUAGAUAUUUACUAUAUAUGAUAAAGUAGACAUUCACUAUAUAUGGUAAUAUAUUUAUAACCCCCCGCUUGAAUGUCUAAUUGGUAGAUAAUGUGCCUCAUUAAAACUUUACUAGAAAAAAUCCAGUGAAAAAAAAAAUCUAGUGAAGGAAAAAGAGUACACAUCUCUAACAAUACACAUAUAGGAUACCUCAUUAAAAAUCUUACAAGACAAAUCCAAUGGGACAAAACCUCAUAAGAAAAACAGAGUACAACACAUAUUAAAUCCCCCUAGUGAGAACAUCCUUGAGCCUUUGCAUCCCAAUCUUGUGUAUCAUCUUCUUGAAAGUUGCCGUUGAAAGAGACUUAGUGAAUAAAUCAACCACAUUGUCACUUGAACGAAUUUGUCACGUUAAUUUCACAAUUCUUUUUGAGCUUAUGUAUAGAAAAGAUUUGAUGAAGUACCCUUUGUUUUUUCUCCUUUAAUGAAUCCUCCAUUAAGAUGUGCUAUGUAUGCUGCAUUAUCUCUGCAUAAAAUUAUGGGUACAUUUUAUCACAUUUCAAACCAUAUUUUCAUUGAAUGAGAUAUAUCAUGGACCUCAACCAUAUACAUUCUCGACUUACUUCAUGAAUAGCUAUUAUCUCAGCAUGAUUCGAUGAAGUGCUAGAUAGACUGCUUUGUAUAUCUCCAAGAUAUGGCAGUACCACCACAUAUGAACAUGUAUCGUAUUUGAGAUCGAGCUUUAGGUGGGUCAAAUAAGUACCCAAUAUCAGCAUGACCAAUAAAAUUGAGACUGCAAUCUUUAGAGUAAAAUAAGCCCAUAUCGGCAGUCUCUUUAGGUACCUAUAUGUGUUUGAUAUCAUUCCUAGUAGGGGUAGCACUAUACCUUGCUAAUAAAUUAACCGAAAAGGCUCUUCAAGAAUUCCAAUAAUUUUCAAGUUAUAAGCUUAUGCAAUAUAAGGAUUAUAAAUAGUUUUCUAGAAACUUUAUAUGCUUCAAACAUUUUGAAUUCUUAAAAAGUUUUGAUAUGAUUUUGUCAAGUGACAAUAUUCUACAUUUCACGUGUGACAUCUUCAAGUGUCUAGACUGUAAAUCAAAUAAGUUUUAUUUUAUCAAGAUGCAUCUUUUCACGUCACUUGAUAAAAUUUCUACGUCAGCAUGCUUAAAUAAACGUAGAAUUCAGAUCCUCGCAAUCUUUUACAAUAUUGCGCCAAUAUUGUAUCAAAGAUAUUGAUGAUAUAUUAUUUCGUAUCAGUUCACGGCGUGACCUAAUAUUUUGAGAUCUCAUCACUUUAUUAUUUCUAAGUACCCGAACCUCUUAUAAGGUUUCAUGAAGUGUUUUGUCAUAGGCUUUUCAAGAGCACAUUACCUUCUUAUUAUGAUCAUUUGCUCCUUAUCCUUUUCUAGGAUUAUUUAAUUUGGAACUGAUUGGUCAAUCACGCUUCACGCAUGCAUAAACUUUGUCCUUUAGCGACACAAUAGGAGCACUUGCAGCUUAAAUAUGAGAUAUUUUUGGUAUUUGACUUGAAUUAUCUUUUGAAUGAGGAUUUGAUGAUAAUUCAUAACAUAUUUCAUUGCUUCUUAUAAUCUCCCCAUUAUGUUAGGAAGACUAACUUAUAUCCUCUAUCUUCUUUGAGGAAUCCAUCUCUAUGCAUCAUGGUAUAUUUAUUAAUCGUAUACUGCACAUCAAAAUUUUUUAAAUGAAAUAUUUGGUUCAUGACCUUGAACCAAGUGAGGAACAAAUAAUCAUAAUUUAUUGAUCUAAUGAAUACAAGUGCUAUUGUAUGCAACAUAUCAUAUUUCAAACCAACACAUGAAGAUUUAUUCUCCUUAACAAUAGUUUAUCUAUUUAUUCAAGGAAUUCAAUGACAAACCAUCAUCAUCAAGAUGAAUUGUCUUGAUUACACAAUCUAAAAGUAAUGCUCUUAACUCAAUUUUACUGAGCAAACAAUUUAUGAAUGUCAAACUCUAUUGUGAGAAUAAAUGUACAUGUGAUCAUCUUAUUGAUGCAUCUUUUUAAAACAUAUCACAUGAUAGGUGAAUGAACCCUUUUUCACCUUUAUACUUUUCAGAUUUUAAGGGAUUCAAUCCCAAAAUUAGUUGAUCCAACCAAUUUAUCAUGAGAACAAACAAUAUUAAAAGUGAUGUAGAAUUUUUUUGAUUCUUCAAUAUAUAUUGAAUACUCAGUAUGCACAUCUUUGGGAUAUCAUAAACAUUUAUGUCAACUUAUGAACUUAUUUGUACUAGUAAGCUCCAUGUUUACCAUGACAUGUGUCUUCCACUUUAGUAAAUUUGAGAUUUACUAUUACAUGAAUAAAAUUCAGAUUUACUAAUUCAGAAGUAGAUUUUAAAAUAACUCUUCUCAAUUAUUCUUCCUUUUUCGGAGGUGAAUCGUGAUACCAUCACAAUCAAGUGCAUAUUUUCUUUAAUAAGCUUAUCAUUCCCCAGGAAUGGAAUAUAAUUGUGCCUUAAGCCUAUCAAAUUAUGAUAACUUAUAACCUUUUUCAUGAUAUUGCUACUUCAGGAGAAAAUCGAGGCAUACAUAUAAUGUCGAGAAUUUUUCUCUAAUAUAUCUUAUAAUCAUAAUAAACAUUUGAAAAUAUUAUCACUUUUGAUAAUAAUUAUCAUAUUGUCCCACCACACUUAUAUUCAUAAAUUCAAUCACUUGUCUUUUUCAGACAUAUUAUGCACUGAUGUCACAUUCACUUCAGACAACAAAGCAUAUUCAAUAAAAUAAAUUUUAUGUCUUUCACCAAAAACAUAUUAGUUUACCUUAGCCAUUAUUAUAUCAUAAAUAUGGUGCAUUGAGAUUUAAACUCAAUGUCUUAUCCAUAUAAAGACAUCUUAGGCUAUAACUCAAUGGGACUUUGAACACAACAUCUUAUCAUCAUGAUGCAUUUAAAUUUUUAACCCAAUGUAUGACACUCUUAAUGAGACGAGACUUAAAUUUAUCAUCAUAUAUUUUAACAAUAUUGUUCUUCAUGAACAAAUUUAAAGCAUAAAUGGUUCCAAACCAAUUAUUUUUUGCUCAAAUCCAACAAUAAUUAUAUCAUUAGUAGCAAAAGACAAAUAACAUAAGGAAUUACUAACCUUGAAAUUACCUUUAGAUUUAUAAUCUUACCUUGUUUGGUAGAGUCUCGUGCUGAUAACGUGUUAUGAAAUAUAAAACAAAGAACAAGAAGAAUGGAGAGAAAAGAGAUGAGACUUAUUUAUUUCUCAUGAGGAAUUCUUGAGGGGUCAAUUACAAUGAAGGAAACCCCCUUUAUUUAUAGGGAAAUACUAACUUUGGGGUUUCUCACUUUUUCAUAAAUAGAUAUUCACUAUAAAUGAUAAAGUAGACAUUCACUAUGUAUGGUAAGUAGACAUUCACUAUAUAUGGUAAUAUAUUUGUAACAGAGAAGUCUUUCUUGAAAAAGGCGCUACUCAAAUAUUUUAUUUUUAAUAGUAAUUCUUGAGAAAGUUCCUAGGUCCAUGUGACCAAACAUAUUGAACCAGAGAAAGAAACAUGAAUAUGGCAUCUUCAUACGUUAAUCUCAAUCUCCUCAAAUCAUUUGUUUUUUAUUGGGGUGAACAUAUUAGUACUAGUAUAUAUUAAAAUGGUAUAAGAAGGUGUCCAGAGAUAUUAUUCAAGUACAACCGUCAGUAUUACUAGUUGUAGUAGUGACUGCAUUUGCAAAACAUAGAAUAACGUAAAAACAGAAAAGUGAGACGGGGGCCUAUUGAUACUAAAUUCUUUCAUGUUUAGUUCCAGGAGCUCUAGUACAAAUAGAAAGGUUUCAAAAAAAAAAAAAAGAUAAUCACUUUCUAUAAUUGAAGCACUAAAAUUUGCUAAACUAUCAGUUACCAUGUUGAACUCCCUGUAUAUGUGGUACAUAGGUAAAUCAUGGAGUAACUUCAGGAGGCACCUGCAGUCAUCAAUUAUGUGUGAGUAGAUAGGAAGUGGAUCAAAUAAUAUGUUUACCACCUCUAUAGAAUCUACUACUAUUCAAAGAAAAAUAUAUUUGUGUCGGUAUGUCAACUGGAGUUCUUGUAGGAGUGCCAAAAGCUCGCUUAUAAGUAGACAUUUCAGUAGUUGAACCUGAAAAUCCUAAAAACCAAUCACCAAAAUUAGUUCUAAGGACAACCCCAGUAUCUUCCAACUCAAAAUAUAUUGGUGUUGCAACAUCAGUGUGGAGAAAGAUAGUGUCAAGCUGAGCAUGGGGUAGUGUUUGAAACAUAGGGUGAUUGAGGGAAGUGGUUGAUAAUAUUGAAUGAUGUAGCGAUCGAUAUAAUUCAAAACUAAACGUAAUGAUCGUAUGGGGAGAUGAUCGGAAUUUUCUUUUCUCGAAGGUAAUUUUAUUAUGAGUCAACCAUAAAUGCCAAGGCAAAGUUGAAAGGUUUUUAUUUCCUGAAAAUAAUGAGGCAUGCCUUUCUUGAUAGUAUAUUUUGAAAAAAGUCACUACUUGAACGAUAUAUUUUGAACAAUAUAUUAGUUCUUGGGCUUAAAAGUUCUAGGUCCACAUGACCAAAAAUAUUGAACCAUCAAAAUAGAGGGUAUGGAUGCUUAUUAAAAAAGGAUUAUCAUUGACGACAAAUUACUUUAACUUAAUCCAAAUUUUAAAAUUUUCUUUUAAGUCUAAUCAAAUUUGACAAACUUUUGAUCCCUCCUUCUCCUUCUUCCUCUUCAGUUCUUCGGUUUUGAACUACCAACGCCUAACUUCAAACUUAAUUGAAGAUUUUAAAAAAAUAUUUGGAAUGACACUUCAUAAUUAGAUUUAGUGUAAUUAUUAGGAUAACAAAUCUUAGUAAUUAUUUAGACUUGUUAGUUUUUCAUAAUGUAUAAUUAAUAUAGUGUAGUUUCACGGGUGACAACAGACGUGCUUAUAAGCCAAAAUUGAAAAUCAGCAAAAACUUAUAAAUUGAUUCUAACUUAUAAGCAUUUUUUGUUUUGCUGGGUAUGUGUUGAGGUAUGAAUGGAAAAUGAAUAGACACCAAGAGAAAGGAUGCAUGUUAAAAGACUUAUUUUUACUUUGAAUGGUUGUGAUCGUUCUGAUGGGUUGCGACUUUUCCGAAUAAGUGUGUUUGUUUCAAAAUAACACAUUUUUUUCGAACAGAUAUGUUUGCACCUGUUAAAGACUAAAUAUUUAGAGGCUUAGUCUCAUUUCUACUAUUGAAAAUCUGAAAUACUAUUAAAAAUAAAAUGUCGAUUGAUUUUUUCUUUCAUCUUUUGCAUAGUUUUUUCUUCAAAGAAGUAACAGUAAAUGUGAUUCACUCUACUUGUUGAGUUCGCUGAAAUUCUGUAAUUUUUAUUGUCAGUAUUGCAAAUAGUAUUUUAUUUUAUUUUGGAGGAAUUAAUCCAAACUUUGGGCAAUUGUGAAGGGAUUAAAUUCCUUAAAGAAACACAGUUUUCUGUGGGCUUAGAACUGUAUGUUUUUGAUCGAUUUUUUGAUUCUUUUGCAGGAUGAAAAAGCUUAAAGAAUUUAAUUCUUAUUACUUUUUUGUGUUCUACUAUGUCAUGGAUAAAUCAAGAAAAAAUUGAAUAAUUUGUAUUAUGCACACUUCAACUGAAGCGUGGCAGUGAAAGAAAAAGGAAGAAGAAUUAGAACUUGAAAUCUUUUCUAUUACGUUGUGAUAUCAUCACUGAAAAUAAAAUGUUGGAGACUACGACACCAACUGCAUUAAUUAAUAUUGAUGCUUAUUUUUUGUUUUGAAAGUAAAAGUCAAGUGACAGAAAAUUAUGAUUUUGUGUACAUGCGCGCAACAAUUGCAUGCUGUUGUCUUAUAAAUUUGAUUUAUUUAUAAUUUUUGCUUCAUCUUUUAUUCUGAUUUGUGUGGACAUUAGAAUCUUGUAAUUUUCUACUCUAUUUAUUGACUUGGUUUGAAGAACAUAAAACUUUACUGAGUUGAUAAAUUUUUUUACUAUCGAUUUGAAGAAUACAAAAACUUCAUCGACCGAAUAAAAUUUGCUUAUUGUUAACCAGUUCAUUUAAUUCAGUUUGUGUGUUUUCAAACAAAAAUAGUAGAAUCAACUGAUAAUGUUAUGACUUUUGCAUUGAUGGCAACAAAUGUUGUUUUGUCAAGCCGUGUUAUUCCUUCUACGAUUGCAACAAAAAAGUUUUAAAAUUUUUUAGAAAUGACUUUUAAAGAUGGUAUCAAAAUAUGUUGUUCUAUAUGACACUCUUAGUUUGCAGAAGUUUAUUAUUGAGAAAGUUCCAUCUUUGUCGGAUGAGAAAGAGUUCUCUAUGAUACUUGAGGCAUAGAAUCAUUCAUAUUUUCUGUGCAAGAAUAUAUCCUAAAUGGAUUGAAAGAUGGUGAAACACCCUGGGUAUGGGACCCUUAGAAAUUUUUUUGGAUUUCUGAUCUUUGGACAGGAUAUGACUAAACGGUACCAGUCGUAUGUUGGAGUACGAUUCAUAUGGGUCGGUUGUAUCCUGACCACUGUUGUUUGGUGGGUUGGAUUGGAUUCUGGAAUGGGUACGACUUGGGUUAGUAAGAGUCAAAUGGUUGGAUACGGAUCGUUUGGUUUGGGUUUUUCCUUCACUUGGUUUGGGACUUAGUAAAAUAACUUGGAUUUGAGUAUGAGUGGCUCAACAUGAGCUGUAAGCCAAGGUAUGAGUCAUACCAUGGACUUGUAUAGCGGACAAUGUUCAAACCUCUUGUGAUUCUAUUUUGCCAAGGGUACGGGUCAAAGGUAUGAGUCGUGUGCUUUUGGUACGAUUUAGUUUGGGUAAGUCGUACCUUGUACAGUGUUGGGUUCAAGGGGGAGGCCUAGGGUAUGAGUGGUGGGUACCACUCGUAUCGGAGGAUAUGACUGGUAUGGUGAGUCGUACCCACCUGAUGGGAGUUUUAUGUAGUUUUAGUGAGGGCAAUCUAGAUAUUUCUCCACUUAACCUAUUGAGGUUCCACGACUUUUAAUACACUUGGGAGGUUAUUUUCCCUAUUAUUCUAUUCAUUAACACUUAGAAAACACUCUCAAAUUCUCUCUAAGGCUUCUAGGUAAAAGAAGGCUAGGGUUUCACUAAGGUGAUCAAUUUGGGGCUUGUGUUGGUGAUUUCUCUCCAUCAUCCACUCAAUUUAAGGCAUGUACUCCUUCUCUCAUUGUUAGUUCCAGCUCCAGCUAAAGGCAUAUUUUGUAAAUUGUUUUCAUGGAAUAAUUGUUAUAUAAUUUUAGGUUUUCAAAAUAAAUAUUGGUGAUUUUUGUUAUAAUGGCUUGGUUAUGGUUUUCCCAUGUUUUAAUUACGUAUUUAUAUGUUUUAAUAGUGGUUCAGAUACUUGGUUGCAUGGGAAUGGUUAAUUGGUAUUUGAUUUUGGUUUUGGAAAUACUAUGCCCCCAAUAUGUUUGAUAAAAUGCUAUGUGAAUGCUUUUAUUAUGUUAUUGGACUUCUUAAAUGGAACUAUUGGAUGGUAUUGUUUGGUAAUGGAAUCCUAAAUGGUAUAAAUAAUUUAAAUAGUUUGGACUGGUUAAAUGGAAUGAUUUGGUAGUCCUAGUUUAUGGUUAAUUGGACUUCCUUGUGGGGAAUAGUGGAAUCCUCCAAGUAAACAUGUUAAUGAAUAAUUGUGGGAUACAUGGGACUCCUCCAAGCAACUUAAUAAUGAAACACUUGCAGGGUACAUGGGACUCCCCCAAGUUAACUUGGUAAAUGGGUAUAUGGGAAUCCCUUUACCUCUUAAGGUUGGUUAGGGAUAAUACUUGUAAGUUAUAGUCGGUAUGACGAUACCACUAUUAAUAGCCUUAGUUAAUAAUAAAUUAAAUAAUGGAUUGAUUGGUUGGAAAUGGUUUUAAUUGGGCAACAAUGGCGGGGGGGGAUAGCUAACCGUGAAGGUAAGAGUUUGAUGAACGAACACUAAAAAAAUCAUAUUUACCGACAUGAGGGGUUGGUCAUGGCGACCAUAGACGAUACUAUGAGGUACACGAUAAUCCUCUAAGUACACUGUAAAUAUGUAUUAUGGAGGGUAAAGGUACUUGGGAAUCCCUUACUCUUAUGCUAUCUCUAGUUUGUGCGGCUACACACAUCUGGGCCUAUUCAAGGGGUUACACUGGACCUAUAUAGCCCGUGGGUGGUUUUGUAAGGUAAGCUACACAUACUAGGUUAAUGGUUUUAAAUGCCUGCCAAACCCUGUUCUCUUUUUUGGCAUGGUUAUAUAUAUGUAUGGUUUGUAUGCAUAUGGUUUGUUUACUUGGUUUUACUAGAUAACAUUAUUUUAUCCUUAUCCUGAGUUCAUUCCAAAGUUCACCCGCUAACCCAUCCUCGAGCGUCUAUAUCCCCACGUGAUGUAGGAACCGACCAUUCUACUCUUCCUACCUUAUGUUCGGACUCGGGAUCAACUACUGUAUUGAAGUGGUGAGCUUUAAUAUUCCAAAAGGAUCCAUUUCAUGUUCAUGGAUGUUUUUACUAAUUUUGGAUGUUUUAUGGAUAUUGGUUUUGGCUAUGGUUGGGGGCAUGUACCAAUCGGAUAUUACUUUUCUUUUGGUUAGAGGCUAUUAUGGAAGUUUUUUGGGUUGGCAUGGGCGGGGUUGAUAUUGCUGUCAGCCUUAGUAUUGGCAUUGGCAUUGGGGAUGAUAUCGUUGGACUAAAUUUCUCAUUAUUCCAUCCUUUUAUGUUAUGUCAUGGAGCUUGGUUUAGUUAUUGUUUUGGUUUUAGUUUUGGUUUACAAUUUGGUUAUGGUUAUUGAUUGGAUGGACUCGGUUGGGUCGGUCACUGUUAUAGACCUAUCCUAGAGUAUGGAUUUGAAUAGUUACAUGCUAUCUUGUUAUAUGUUUGGAAUUUAUCCAACUCAGGGUAUGUGUUGGAUGAUUGGAUUGGGUAUUGGGGGUAGUCUCUGGUCCUAGUUGGACUUGGGAUACCCAUUACGUUAAGGCCCCCAGUCAAGUCGUGUCAGAUGGUACAAUAGCUAUAGUUCUGCAAAACAUCAAAAAAACUAUGAGAUAGUUUGGACAAGAAAUACUAAUCAAAGAUGCUGGACUAAAGAAGUUUGUGGCUGCCAAAUUUCUAAAAUUUAAGAUGAUUGACAACAAAUCUAUCAUGUCUCAAGUCCAAGAACUGCAGGUUAUCAUUCAUGAUUUGCUUGUUGAAUGUAUGAUUGUUAAUGAUGCUUUUCAAGUGGUAGUCUUUAUCAAAAAGUCACCUCCUUUGUAGAGAGACUUUAAGAAUUACUUGAAACAUAAGCAAAAGAAAUAAAGUUGGAGGAUCUUAUUAUUUGUCUACAGAUUAAAAAAGACAAUAAAGAUGAAAAAAAGUAAUGGAAAGUAAUUAAUUUUAGGAGCAAACCAUGUUGAAACUCCUCCAAAGAAGAAGAAAAGAAAGAAGUCUGAUAAUGAAAAGAAUGUACCAAAAGGAAAGGUUUAAAGGUUGUUGCUACAACUGUGGCAAGUAUGGUAACAUGUUUUCAGAUAAUCGUGCUCCUAAGAAAGAAAAGAGGAAAAGACCCAACAAACAUGAAUAACGUGUUAAAAACUAAUUUUUGCCCCCCAUGACUAAGUUAAUUAUGAGUUUAUUUGAUAUUAAAUAAAAUUACAAUAAUUAUUUUAUUCGAAUAAAAGAUUUUCAAAAUAUUUAUUUAGGUAAUUUUAUCAUUUUAAGAAGCAAUUAUAUAUUUUCCUGUUCGUACAUAUGAAAUCGUACAAUUUUGUUACUUAUAUAAUUAUUUUACAAAAAAUUAGAUUUUAAUCAAGGGCUAUUGUAACACCCUCAAAAUUUUGAGUACUUUAUUUUUGGACCUCCCGUGUUCAAAAUGUCAAUUUUUGACUUAAAUUGAGUUUAGGCAUGUGAAUGGGGUCUUCCAGGAGAGUUUUAGAAUUUUUGGAUGGGGUUCAGGGUCAUUUUGGACUCUGGAGGCAGUGACCCUCCGCUAUAUCCCCGUGUCAUGGAGUAUACAUUUCGAGAUAGCCAUUGUGUCAUAGAGGUUAGCCUCCGCGAUAGGAAGCAUGGGAUAGAGGUUAGCCUCCGUGAUAAGGUUUGUGUCACCCCGCUAUGUAAAAUCUAUGUAGUUUUUGUUUUGUUCACUUGGGAUGAGGGGUAUUGGGGUCUUUAUACCUAUGUAUGACCCUUAAGCACAAUAUAGCCUAUUACUUUUAAUUUUAAGAUAUUAAAUUCCCCAAUUACACUCUUACAUUUAAAACCUCAAGAAUGCAUAAGGAUUCAUCAUACAUUCAUCCUCUGGGUCCCAAGCUCCUAAUUACUUUCUAAAUCUCAUGUAUCUAAGGUAUGUUACUCUUGCCCCACUAUUAUUUUAUAAAAAUCAUGUGUUUAUAAUUGUUCCCAUGUGAUUAAAUUGUGGUUUGUGAAUAUGGGUUUGAGGGUUUUGGAAUAAUGCACCUUGAAUUGAUUUCCUAUGGUUUUAAUGCAAUUGUUCAUGCUUUGUUUCCAUAGUUUGAACUAAUGGGGUACAUGGGUGUGGGAAUUGGAAUGGGGGUCAAGGUAUUCCCCUUUAUUAAUGUUUUUGUACUUGAAAUUGGUCUUGGAUAAUUGUAUUCCCUCAACCCAUUUGUGAAAUUGGUUUUGAAAUAUGAUUUGUCACUUGGUUUAAUUUACUCACCUAUACUAUUGCAUUACAUAAAUGAUUAAAUAUUAAACAUGGAUUUUGAAGGCCUUAUUGGCCGUGUUUUGACUGAAAUUGAAACCUUGGGGGUCGAGGCAUUCACCUAAGUUGAUUUGAUAAACUAAAGAGGGUUGAGGAAUUCCCCAAGUUAAUGCUAUUGAAAUAACAUAAUUGUAAUCUUGCAAGUGAAUGGUAUGACGAUACCUAUGGUAUGGGUUAUGUGGAACUUGUUUUAAUUUAGACUUAAUGGGGGUUAUUUAUCUAAGUCAUGAACGUGUGGGUCUUGAAUGACUUGUAUUGGAAACUCAUGUUUGCCGACGUGAGGGUUGGUCUUGAUGACUGCGUGCUUGGUUCAUACAACCGAUAUAUUUGUAUCCUAGAUUGGUGUGUCUUCCUUGAUACCUCCAGUUCAUGUGGCUAAUACGUAUUGGGGCCCUUUCAGCAGGGGAAGCUGAACCUAUAUAGCCCAUAUAUAUAUAUAUAUAUAUAUAUAUAUAUGAUUGUGUGCAUUGGAUUUGAAUGAUUUUAAAAUAUUGAUCAUGGAAUUAUUUUAUCCUUGUUCCCUGAGUUACAUGGUAUUGCUCAUCCCACUAACCGUCUAUAGAUGCUAUAUCCCAACGCGAUGCUGGAACCAAAAAUACUUCUACUUUUUCUACACAGUGACUAGGUGAUCAUUGGAUAACUUGUGAGUCAGAUAGAAGUGGUGAGCUUUUAUACUUUGGAAGAACUUAUUUUAUGAUUUGAUUUUCUUAUGUCAUAUAUUUUCCUUUGGUCUAAUUUUAGCUACCGGUGGGGGCAUAUCCCAACCUAAAUUGAUUUGGUUUUAGUUAGAGACUUUGUGGAUUACUGUGGACUUGGGAUUGGUUGUUCAAUUCUUAGAAUUCUUUUGUGUCAUACUUAUCUAUCUUAUUUUACAUUUGAAAUUUUGUUGUUAUACUUAUUGUGUUCUGGUUGACUAGGCGAAAGGGCUGAUCUCUGAUCCUCGAUGGACAUAAGAUACCCAUCAAAAUCAGGCACUAGUUUGGAUACUGAUAAAUUUGGUAUCAAAGAGUAGGUUUAUGGUUAAUUGGGUGUCCACAAAGUCAUAUCAAGUAGAGUCUCUUUUAUGGGUAUGUAGCACUCCACACUUAUAAGAGAGAGCCUAUGAGGCAUUUAGGAAUGUUUCCCUUUCUUGUUGUCUUAAUUUUGGGCUAUUGAGUCUAAGGUAUUUGAUUCCUCUAACUCCCACUUAUUUGCCUUUCAGAUCAUGCCUCCUAGAAGAUUUGAAGCCCAUGGAAACUCAUCUGUCCCGCCUGAGGACAAUGUGGGUGGAUCUCAUCCAAUUUAUGGGGUAUAGACCUGGUCAAGGGUUACUUCUUUUGAUUGUCCCAUAGAGUUCCGCCUGUCUCCGUUGAUCCUUCUCCAACUGAUGGCACUCUUACUCUGUUACCUCAAGGAGAUAUUACUAAUCCUGAGUUUUUUCAAUCUAUUCAUCUGUUGACCUAGUUGGUGAUAUCUCAGUCAUGUCAUAUGGGUUCUACUGGUAUUGCUGGGAGUUCAUCUACGACCACUAGAGUAGGAUAGCUCAUGAGGUUGGGCCCUCCAACUUCCACUGGUAGUAAGGUUAAGGAGGAUCCUCAAGGUUUUAUAGAUGAGAUGGAGAAGAUCUUUCGGUUUAUGUAUGCUACUGAUGUAGAAGGUGUAAAGUUCGUUGCUUAUCAUUUGAAGGAUGUAGCGUAUCAGUGGUAUGAAGAGUAGGAUUAGUCUAGGGAUGAUGAUGUAGAGGUGAAAUUAUAGGAUAACUUUUCUAGUGCCUUUAUGGAUUGCUUCUUUCCUCAAGAGUUUAGGGAGGUGAAAGCUGAGGAGUUAGUAAAUUUGAAGCAAAGAAAAAUGACUGCUUAAGAGUAUGCAUUGAAGUUUCAUCAACUGUCCUGUCAUUAUUUGGAGUUAGUAACUAGCAUGUGGGCUACAAUGAGUAAGUUUUCUUCUGGGUUAUCCCAUGAUUUUAUUUUGGAGAGCAAGAAUGCCUUAUUGAACAAGAAUAUGGACAUCUCUAGACUUGUGAUGUAUAUACAACAAGUUGAAGAGGAAUUGAAGAAGCAAGUAGAGAUAGAGGAGAGGUAGAGUAAGAAGUUUUGAUAUUCAUAUCAUAGUGAAGGUCAACAGAAGGGUGAUAGAGAUGGUAGAAAAUGUUCUAAGAAAAAAUGGGGCAAUUUGGGUUCUUAUUCGACGGGCAGUGCUCCUAAUCCUAAGCCGUUCGGUGGUUGACGCUUUCAGAGAAAUAAUGGGUUUAAGGCACAAGGUACCCAAUCUCAGGCCAGUGGGACCAAGUCUGCCUGAUCACAUCCUCCUUGUAUAUUUUAUGGAUAUUUACACCAUGGUUUUUGUGAUGAGAGGAGGAAUAAGUAUUUUAGGUGUGGCUAGCCUGGCCAUAUUUAGAGGAACUGUCCUUCAGGUGACGUUGCUACAGGGGAUAAUAAGGUCCCGAUUUCUAUUUCUUCGACUCCUUCCCCAAGGAGUGUUACUUCUGGCUUCGACACUGGUUGGAAUUGUUUAUAUGCUCUUGCUACCUAUCAGAUUCUAAGGCAUCUCUUAAUAUUGUUAUCGGUAUGAAACUCCUCUCUCGUAUUGUAUACUGUUUGCUUUAUAUGGGGUCUACCUUUUCUUAUAUGACUCCAUUUGUGACUGUGCAUUUUGGUUUUGGUCUCGAAUAUAUUUUAGACCUCUAUUCUAUUUCUACCUCGGUGGGUGAGUCGAUGGUUGCUAGAAGGGUCUAUAGGAGUUGUGUGGUAUCUGUUGGUGGUAGGGAGGCAUUGUUUGUUUUUAUUGAAUUAGACAUGCUAGAUUUUGAAGUCAUCUUAGGGAUAGAUUAGUUGCAUUCGUGCUAUGCCUCUUUAGACUGUCGAAUUCAUAAAGUCAUUUCAAACUCCCGAUUGAGUCGGUUAUUGAGUGGGAAGGGAAUUCUCUAGUGCCUAAGGGAAGGUGCAAUCAUAUCUUAGAACCUGGAAAUUGAUUUCCAAGGGGUGUCUUUAUCAUUUGGUUUGGGUUAAAUAUUCUAACUCGAAGGUCCUUCCUUAUAAUUAAUUCUUGUGGUUAGUAAGUUUCCUAAGGUUUUCCUUAAUGAUCUUUCGAGCGUUCCUCCUAAUAGGGAAAUUGAGUUUGGGAUCGAUCUUCUUCUGCACACUCAUCCUAUUCUAUCCCUGCUUAUAGAAUGGCUCCAGUUGAGUUGAAGAAACCUAAGGAGCAGUUGAAACAUCUUCUUGACAAGGGUUUUAUCCGCCCUAGUGUAUCUCUAUGGGGUGCUCUUGUUCUUUUUGUGCAUAAGAAGGAUGGUUCUCUUCAAAUGUAUAUUAAUUACCGUUAGUUGAAUAAGGCCACAAUGAAGAAUAAAUAUCCUCUUCCUAGAAUUGAUCACUUGUUUGACCAACUUUAGGGUGCUAAGUAUUUCUCCAAGAUUGAUUAGUUAAGGAUUAGGGAGAAAGAUAUCCCUAAGACUGCCUUUCAUACUCGAUAAGGAAAUUUUAAGUUCUCGAUCAUAUCUUUUGGGUUGACCAAUGCCCCAGUGGCAUUUGGAUCUUAUGAACCAAAUCUUCCUUUAGUUCUUUGAUUUAUUCGUAAUUGUAUUUAUUGAUGAUAUUUUGGUGUAUUCCAAGAGUGAGGCAGAUCAUGUCGAUCACCUCCCCAUAGUAUUGCAGACUUUCAAGGAUCAAUAGUUGUAUGCUAAGUUCUCAAAGUGCGAGUUCUGGUUGAAUGUUGUUACUCUUCUGGGUCAUAUUAUUUCUGGCAAAGGAUUCACGCUGGAUCCACAGAAAGUUACAAUGGCUAAGAAAUGGCCUAGACCCACUACUCCAAUCGAUAUUCAGAGCUUUUUGGGUUUAGCCGGUUAUUAUAAGAGGUUUGUGGAGAGCUUCUCGUUGAUUGUUGCACCUUUUACUAGGUUGACUUAGAAAAAGGUCAAGUUUUUGUAGUUAGAUGCUUGUGAAAGUAGUUUUGAGAAGCUGAAGGAUAAGUUGACUUUUGCACCGGUCUUGACCUUGCCUGAGGGUACUGAUGGAUUCAUGGUUUAUUGUGAUGUAUCCCACGUGGGACUCGAUUUUAUGUUGAUAUAUCAUGGUAAGAUGGUGGCCUAUGCUUCCAGGAAGUUGAAAGUUCAUGAAAAGAAUUAUUGAAAUCAUGACUUGGAUUUGUUAGUUGUGGUUUUCGCAUUGAAUGUUUAGCGACAUUACUUGUAUGGAUUUCAUUUUGACAUUUAUUCUGAUCAAAGAGCCUUAAGUAUGUGUUCACUCGGAAGUAGUUGAAUCUCAGGCAAAGGAGAUAGCUUGAGUUGCUUAAAGACUACAACAUGAGUCUCCAUUAUCAUCCAGGUAAGGCUAAGAUGGUUGCUAAUUCUCUUAGCAGGUUAUCUAUGGGGAGUCUAUCUCAUGUGGAUGAAAAGAAACAUGAAUUGGUGAAAUAUAUUCACUAUUUGGCUAACCUUGGAGUUAUUCUCUUAGGUUGCAUUUGUUUUUAUUAAGAUUCAGACAUUUGAAUCUGAAUGCAUAUCUGUUCUGAUUAAGAUGUUGUCUUCAGAUCUAAAAACUGAAUGGUUACGACUAUUUGAUUUUCAUUAUCUGCAUAUGCAAAAUUUAUUUAUUUGCAUAUAUAAUAAAAAAUAUAAUUCAAAUAAGAAAUAAUUAUACAUUAGAAAAAUAUUUAAUUCAAAACAAUAAAAGUAUUGUUUGAUUGAAAGAAAUAUUUAUAUUUGCUAGUGAUAAUGGAGAUAGUUUGUAAUGGCGGUGGUGAUGGUAAUAAUUGAUGUUAGUGAUUAGUAAUGUUUGUGGUGACAGUUGUGAUGUAGAGAUUUUUGGUAUUUAGUGAUUGUUACAAUGGUGGCAAUUGAUAGUGGUGGCGGUAGUGAUGUAAAGUUGGUUGAUGUUAGUAGUUGGAGGUGUUGAUUGUAAUAGCUUAAAAAUGAACGCAUGAUGGUUGACGAUGUGUUAGUAGUAGUUAGAGAUGAUGUUAGAUGUGAUGGUGGAGAUGAUUAUUAGUACAGAUAUACUGUAACGAUGGUGGUGGUUGAAGCAGUGCUAGAAAAGGCGACACUAGUGACAAUGAUAGUGGUGGUCGAAGAAUGUGUGGAUGCUGAUGAUGUGGUCGUGGCAGUUAGCGGUGGCUUUAAUUCUGAUAGAUGAGUUAGUUAGUAGUUGGGAGUCAUCGAUAGUGGUUGAUGAUGGUGUUGGUGUUGGUGUUGGCAUUGAUGUCGACAUUGGUGAUAACGACGGAUAUAAUUAAACCAAUAAAAGUGAUAGAUAUGGUAGCAGCUAAGAAUAGUGGUUAGUAGCAUUUAUGAUUAUGGAUGGUGGUUUUGAUGGUGGAGGUGGUUGUUGUUGGUAGUUAGGUGGUGGUUGACAAUGGUAGUGGUGGGAGAGGGGGUAGUGGUGGUAAAUGAUGAUUAUGGAUAGAGUGGUGGUGAAUAUUAUCCAACAUAAAAAUACCUCUUAAUGAUUAAGACUUAGUUCCAGAUCUGAAUGAUUAAGAACUAUUCAGACCUAUUAAUAGCCAAAAUCUUAAUGAAAAAUAAAUGCACUUAAUGGUCUGAAGUCUGAAUCAUUCAGAUUUAGCCCUCAUAAAGUGCAAACAAAUGAGACCUUAGACAGUAAAGAUGGAGUUGUGUUUGUUCAAGAGGUGGUGAAGUCAUCUCUCGAUGUUGAGGUAAAAGAGAAGAAGUCUUUGGACCCUAUCUUGAUGCAAAUCAAGGAUGAUGUGGGCCAACAGAAAGUUAUGGCUUUUGAAAUUGGUCAUGAUGGUAUUUUGAGGUACCAAGGGAGGUUGUGUGUUCCUGAUGUGGACGAGUUACGAUGAAGAAUUUUGGUUGAGGCUCAUGAGUUAAGGUACACUGUUCAUCCGGGUUUGACAAAGAUGUACCAUGAUUUGAAGGAGAUUUAUUGGUGGAAUAACAUGAAAAGAGAUAUGGCUAAUUUUGUGACUAAGUUCAUUGUUUGUCAGCAAGUGAAGGUGGAACACUUGAGGCCUGGAGGGUUAUCUCAAGAGAUUGAGCUGCCCGUGUGGAAAUAUGAGGUGAUUAAUAUAGACUUUUUUACAGUUCUUCCGCUAUCUCGUAACCAGUUUGACUCCAGUUGGGUCAUCGUGGAUAGGAUGACUAAGUUUGCGCACUUCUUGCCAGUGAAGACUAAUUUCUCUGCUGAGGAUUAUGCAUAGUUGUUCAUUCAAGUAAUCAUAAAAUUUCAUGGUACUCCAGUUUUUAUUAUUUUACAUCGUGGUACGUAGUUAUCAUCUCACAUUUGGCAUUCUUUACUGAGAGGUUUGGGGACUAAGGUAAACCUUAGCACCGCUUUCUACCCUCAGAUGGAUGGACAAGCAGAGAGGACGAUUCAUACUUUCGAAGAUAUGCUUCGAGCUUCUGUACUUGACUUUAGUGGUAGUUGGGUUGACCAUUUGCCUCUCAUAUAGUUUACGUACAAUAAUAGCUAUCACUCUAGUAUUGGCAUGGCUCUGUUUGAGGCUUUGUAUGGUAAGGAGGUCUAAUAUUGUGGUUUGAAAUUUGUGAGGCUGGAUUGUUUGGUCCUGACUUGGUUCAUCAUGCUAUUAAGAAGGUAAAGGUGAUUCAGGAUUGACAUGACCCGAACAAGGCCUUGUCAUAAUGGGCAUCUCAAGUCCAACCAGGACCGGAGACCAUACCCGUUACCCAACCCAACCAACCAACAUAUACCUUAAGUCGGAUAAAUUCCGAACAUAUUACAAGAUAGCGUUUUAUAUAAUUCCAGACUUUGGGAUAGAUCUAUGAUCGUGACCAACCCAAGCAAGUCCAACCAUCUAAUACCAACCAGCAACCACAACCAAACUGAUAUAAUAACCAAGUUCAUGUCCAUAACAUAACAUAAUAGGAUGGAACAAUCAUAAAUAUAGUCAAAAGGUAUUAGCCCCAAUACUAAUGGCAAUACUACGGCUAAUACCAAUGCCGACACCGCCCACACCAACCCAUAGUAGUUCAAUAAAGCCUCUAACUAAAAGUAAAACAAUAUCCGGCUGGGAUAUGCCCCCAACCAUAGACAAAACCAAUGUCUACGAAAUAACCAAAGUAUGUAAAGACAUCCAUGAUAUGAAAUGGAGCCUUCCGAAGUAUGGAAGAUCACCACUUCAAUCCAACAACUGAUCCCGAAUUUGAUCGAUAAGCAAGAAGAGUAGAAUGGUCAAUUCCUGUAUCGCGUAGGGAUACAGUCGCCUGAAGACGGGUUAGCGGGUGAACGCUAGCAAGUACUUAGGAUAAGGAUAAUACCAAACUUUAAAACAAAGUAAAAACCCAUAUUCAUUCACAACCAUACAUAUAUAUGUAAUCCAUGCCAGGAAAUAGAAUCGGGUUUAGCAUGCCUUUAAAACCAUUAACCUGGGUAUGUGUAGCUUAACCAUCCUAGAACCACCCACGGGCUAUAUGGAUCCACUGUAACCCCCUGAACGGCCCUCGAUGCGUAUAGCUGCAUGAAUCGGAGAUAACAUAGGGGUAGGGGAUUCUCGUGUACCCUUCGCCCUCUAUGAUACAUAUGUACAACUGUACUUAGGGGAUUCCUAUGUACCCCGUAAGUAUCAUAUACACCAUGACCAAUCCUCAUGUCGGCAAAUAGAGUUUCCAGUGUCCAUCCAUUGGACUCACACCUUCACGGUUAGCUAUCACACCCCACGAUUAUUGCCCAAUUAAAACCAUUAUCACAUAACCUAAACCACCAUUCCAUUUACUAUUAACCAAGGCUAUAAGUAAUGGUAUCUUCAUAACAACUAUAGCUUACAAGCAAUGUCCUUAGCCAAUCUUUUGGAGAAGAAGGGAUUCCCAUGUACCCAUAGAUUACAUUAUUUAGUUGCUUGGGGGAUUCUCAUGUACCCCACAAGAUGUUCAUUAUUAUGUUUUCUUGGGGGAUUCCUCAUAUGCCACAAGGAUGUUCAAUUAACACAUAACCAUAGCCACCAAGACCUUACUAUUUAACCACUCCAAACCAUUUAUACCAUUUAGGGUUCAUUACCAAGUUGUACCAUGACAUAGUUGCAUUAAAAGUCCAACACUAUAGUAAAUGCAUUCUCGUAGGCAUUUUAUCAAAAUUUUGUGGGCAUAGUGUUUCCAAAGCCAAUACCAAGUACAUUUUAACCAUUCCCAUCCAAUAAAAAAUUCAAACCAUCAUUAUAAUAUGAAAGCCAUAUGUAAAAGACAUGGGAAAACCAUAACCAACCAUUAUAACCAAAACCUCUACUUAUAUUUGAAAACCUAAAACCAUUCAAAAAUUAUACCAUGAAAACAAUUCACAUAACAUACCUUUAAUUGGAACUAACAAUGAGGGAGGAUUUACAUGCCUUAGAGAUGAAGAUAGAAAAAUCACCCUUAUGAGUCUCAAAUUGAUCCUAUUGAUGAAACCCUAGCCUUUCCUGAUCCAAGAGCCUUUGAGAGAAUUUUAGAGAGUUUCUAAAUGUUUAAGAUUAGAAAUAUUAGGGUAAAUGAUGUCCAAAGAAUGAUAUAAGUCAUGGGCCCCUUUGAGGUUAAGAGGGGAAGUGUCCAGAUUACCCCCAACUUCAACUGUAUAAAAUUCCCGUAGGAGGGUACGACUCCAUCAUGCAACCCGUACUAUAUCAUACGAGUGGUACCCACCACUCGUACCCUAGGCAUCCUUUGGAACUCAAACACUGUUCAACAUACAACUACCAAGACCCAAUUGUACCCAAGCCUUCAACAAGUACCCUUAACCAGUACCUUAGGCUAAAUAGGAUCUCCUAGGCUAGACUUAGGGCCCUAUACAACUUAACAUCUUAUCACUCGUACCCGAUUAUACGACUAGCAUGAUCUAUUCAUACCUUGGGCAGAACUCAUCCAACCUACAUUGGUUAACAUAUAAGAGAAGGGGACCCUAAACUGUAUCCUAACAUACACCUAGUACCUUCUGGUCGUAUGAUGUCCAGAAGCCAAAAACUCAGGAAAUUUCUAAGGAUAAAAACUUAGGGUGUUUCAGUUUCCACCACUAGGAUCAUUCAUCCCCGAAUGAUGGAACAAGGCAGUAUAAGAACGAUUUACACCCCUUAGAUGCUUCAACUCUUACCUUUAACAAAAAAUGCAAGGAAAUCAAUAUUUCUUUUAAUUAAAAACCAGAAAAUAAGGAUGUUAUGAAGAACACAUACCUUAAGCAUGAAUAUCCAGAUUGUAAAACAAGUGCAAAUACUUUGAAUUCAUGUCCUCUUCCGCCUCCCAAGUAGCCUCUUCCACCUUGUGGUUCCUCCAUAGAACCUUAACCAAAGCUACAUCCUUGGUCUACAACCAACGAAUCUACAGAUCCAAGAUCUCAAUCGGGAUCUCUUCAUAAGAUAGAGAAUCCAAAACACCCAAACCUUUCAAAGGAAUAAUCGAUGAAGGAUCACCUAUACACUUUCUCAACAUAGACACAUGGAAUACCAGAUGAAUGAAGCUCAAACUAGAAGACAACUCUAACUCAUAAGGAAUAUUACCAACCCUUCUCAAAACAACAUAAGGACCAAAAUACCAAGGACUAAGAUUCCCCUUUUCCCAAACCGCAUCACUCCCUUCAUGGGAUACACAUUUAGGAAUACCUUAUCCCCAACCUCAAACUCCAAAUCUCUAUGGCUUACAUCCGCAUAGGACUUUUGUUGACUUUGUGAAUUUUUAUGAAUAUCUCGAAUGAACUUUACCUUUUCCAUAUCCUGAUAUUUUGGACCAAACAUAUCUGUCUCACCAAGAUCCAACUACCCAAUAGGAGAUCUAUACCUUCUAUCAUACAAUGCCUCAUAAAGGGCCAUCCCAAUGCUAGAAUGAUAGCUCUAUUCUAACCAAACUCUACAAAAGGUAGAUGCUCAACCCAAUUACCACCAUAGUCGAUAACACACACACAAAGCAUAUCCUUUAAUGUCUGAAUAGUCCUUUCUGCUUGCCCAUCUAUUUGUGGGUGAAAAGCAGUACUCAUCCUACCCUUAGUAUCCAACCUUUUAUGAAAUAACCACCAAAAGUGAGAUGAAAACUACGUACCACGAUUAAAAAUAAUUGAAAUAGGUAACUCAUGCAUCUUUAAAAUCUCAUUAAGAUACAACCUUGCAUAAUCCUUAGCCGAAAAGUUAGUCCUCACUAGAAAAAAGUUAGUCCUCACUAGAAAAAAGUGAGCCGACUUUGUCAUCCUAUCCAUGAUGACCUAAACCAAAUCGAAUUAAUUCUGAGAUCAAGGAAGAUCAGUGACAAAAUCCAUAUUGAUCAACUCCCAUUUCCAUUUUGGCAAUUCAAUUUCUUUAUACAACCCUCCAGGUCUCAUGUGCUCAACUUUUACUUGAGCAUACACUUGGCUACAAAAUCAGUCAUAUUCCUCUUUAUACCAUUUCACCAAUACAUCUCAUUGAGAUUAUUAUAUAUUUUGGUCAAACCACGAUGAACAACAUUGAAUGAUUCAUGCACCUCUUCCAAGAUCUUUUCUCAUAAACCAUCAACGUCAAGAACACAUAACCUCCUUUGCUACCACAAGGUACCAUUACCACUGAUCUCAAAUACCUUCACCUUUUGACCACCUAUAUCACACUUUAUUUUUAAUAAGAAAAGGAUCUAGCAUUUGUUUUUUCUUGAUAUCUGCACCAAGAGACGGUCGAAUCACUUUCUGUACCAGCACACCACCAUCUUUGAAGUCUAAGAGGAAAAUUCUAAGAUUAGCCAAGCGGUGAAUAUCUUUCACCAAUUCCUACUUCUCCUUAUCCAUAUGAGCUAAACUCCCCAUAGAUAACCUAUUAAGAGAAUCAGAAACCACAUUAGAUUUACCUGGGUGGUAGUGAAGACUCAUGUCAUAGUCCUUAAGAAGCUCAAGCCAUCUCCUCUUCCUAAAAUUAAGCUCUUUUUGAGUGAACACAUAUUGCAGACUUUUAUGAUAAAAAAAGAUGUCCACAUGCACUCCAUACAGAUAGUGCCACCAAAUUAUCAAUGUAAACACCAUCUAUAAAAUCUCUAAAUUAUGAGUAGGAUAAUUACUCUCAUGCACCUUCAAUUACCUAGAAGCAUAGGCUAUCUGUAAUACCCUGAAAAUCCAAACCAAUGUUUGAGGCAUGUUUCAACCUCAUGCAAAGACCUUAUAAUUCUGUUUUUGUUUUAUGAGUGAGUAUGAUGUAUCUUAAGGCUUUAAAUCACUCCCACCUAUUAGACGGAUUAAAAUAUUCCUUACCAAUUGAGUUUUAUGAAGAAUGUUACUUUAGUCAACUUCAAACGAGAAUAUCUUUUGAUCUACAGUGAAUUUUCUAGCUCAAGACCCACAAGCUGUAGGAAAUUGAAUUAUCUUUCUAACGAUACCAAUUUUUCCUAAAUUUGAUAUGCAGGUGAGAAAUUAUGACAUUUUUUAUGAAAAAUAGCAGCCUAACGCGAUAAGGCCGCAUCACGGUAUAGCCAAAAUCAUUUUCAUCCUUUUUUUAGUGGACCACCACAAUAACACUGUAUCGCAACAAAGGGAAAUUUCACGUCAGUAGGGUACCACAAUGGCACCGCAUCGCGCCAAGGGGCAAUUUCACGUCAGUAGGGUACCACAAUGGCACCACAUCGCGCCAAGGUUCCAGUUCAGAAUUGUUCAUUUCCAGUGGCGCAACACGAUAGCACCACAUUGCGCCAUUGGGGAAAAUAGGUGUUGUCAGUUUUCAGUGGCCCAAUGUGAUAAGCACUACAUCGUGCCAUAGCUAAAAAUGAGGAUUUCUAGUUUCGCGAUUUAAAUUCCAUGGACCGUUUUUCUUUUACUUAGACCACAAAUUUAUCCAAAACACAAAAUGAAAACCCUAAAGGGACAUUAGGUGCCCCAUUACUCAUAAUUUCUCUCUAAGAAACUAAUCUUCUCUUAAGAACAAGCCCUAGCCUUCAAAAUUCAAGAUCUAAUCUCAAGAAAAACCCCAAGAACUCUCACGAAUUCAUCAAUCCAGGUAUGUUAAAUGUUUAUCCAUUUGUCCCUUUCACCCAUAGAGUCCACGUAUCUAAUUUUAAAUUCAAAAUUGUGAUCUUUACAAGUAAUUGUGCUCUUUAAUUAUGAUUUUAACCAUGAAUUCCCAUGAAUUGAAACUCUAUACCAUGUUUACAUGAAAUUAUUGUUGUUACCAAACCCCACAUGUAUGAAUAAUUUUAUUUGUUGAUUUAAACCAUAAUUAGAGAUGUUGAUGUUGAAAUCAUGCUAUUACUACAGGUUUUAAACUAUUCCCAUGCUUAGCUUACACUAUACAUACAAGCAUUUGAUGAAAUGCCUACAAGAAUGAAUUUUGAAUAAAUGCUUUCAUAUUAUGUCCCCAAAGUUUUAGCACUAUUUUGCUAUCAUUGCUAUCAAGUCCUGGGGGUUGUGAGUACCCAAAAACUUAGCUGUUUACUUAGCCUCAGUAUCUUUAGAUUAGUUUCAGACAUAUUAUGAGCAAUAUCAGUUCAGUCAGUCAUCAUGAUCAGUUAAACUUUAAGCAAUUCAGUAAUCCAAGUUAGUUUAGUUGGGAGUAGGAUUUAGCACAGAUCGAGUGCUGGGAUGACAACUUCCCUUUCAGUUAGGCAGAAUUAUUAGUAGUCAUCCCUGCACUCCAGAACUACGUAGCCAUCAUAGGAAUUAAGGAGUCACCCAUCAAUUUAGGCUUGACUACCUCCCAGGGGUCACCUGUUAGAUUAGGAUUGACACUCUUAGUCCUUCGGCACAGUAUAUCAGUGGAUCCACAAAACCAGUAUUAGUACCCGUGGUACGGUACUAGCACCCUUCCAACUGGGGUCACAGGUUGGACCCCAAUUUAUUUAUUGGGGCAUGUCGGUUAGAUGAUAGCUCCCACAGUCUCAGUUCAGUAUUCAGUAUACUUUAGUUCAGGCUUGUAUUGACCAUAGCAUAUAGAUAUUAGUUAUUCAGUUAUCAGAUUUCAGUAAUUCAAUUUACAGAUUAUAUUUAGAACAUAAUUUAUGAUUGGUCAUGCAUUCUUAGUAUUUACAGAUUUCAUGCAUUCUAUUCAGUACUUCAUGCUAUUCAUUUAAUCAGUUAUUACUUCUGUACACAAAUCCAUGCAUAUCUGCCUACCUCAUUUAGCAUACCAGUACAUUCAAAGUACUGAUCGCAUACUCAUUUCUUGCACUAUGAUGAAUCAUAUCAUAGGUUUGGAUGCUCAAUUCUCGGAUCGCACAUAGACAUUCUAGAUUUUUAGCUGUAGCAGUGAUGAGUCCUCAUACUUCAAGGACAUGAUCUAUUUAUCUUAGUUAUUUCACUAGCUCAGUAUUUUCCAUUCAGAUAGAAUUAGUUGGGGGUUUAUCCCAUCAGCUCUGUAGUCAGUCAAUAGAGGCUUUUCAGACUAGUACUGUUAGUCAGUUAGUUUUGUUAUUAUUUUACUAGUUUCAGACAGUUGUUUCCAGCAGUUGUUUCAAGAUGUAUGAUCCAGUAAUGAUUUUAUUUGCUAAAACCUUAUGGCUUAUCAUUUGUUUUUUUGCAUAUGUUAUUAUAUUAUUCAGUGCUCACAGCAGGUAUCGGAUCAUGGGUUAGUUUAUGGUCCCUCGGGAUUGUACACACUGUGUGACGCCUAGGGUGUAUUCUCAAGGAGUUACACUCUCACCUUACCAUGCUGCAUCAAAACACAACUAAGUUCCACCGGACAUGCAUCACAAUAUACCACAAACACCUUACUGCCUUCAGACAGAGUCAAAAUUGGAGCCAAAGUUAGCUUAUUCUUCAGUUUCUUGAAAUUACCCUCAUAAGAAUACGACCAAGAGAACUUUUCCUUCUUCUGAGUCAACUUAGUCAAUGGGCAGCUAUAGUAAAAAAAAACUUUCCAUAAACCUCCUAUAGUACCCAGCCGAACCCAAGAAUCUCUAAAUGUCGAUUGGAUUCGUAGGUUUAGGCCAAUUUUUAACCACCGCAACCUUUUAUAAAUCCACCAUGAUCCCCGCAUAUGACCCAUAAAAAUGACAACGUUCAACCAGAAUUCACACUUUAAGAAUUUGGCAUACAACCACUGAUCCUUCAAGGUCUGCAACACAACACGAAGGUGAUUGGCAUUAUCCACCUCACUCUUAGAAUACACCAAGAUGUCAUCUAUGAACAGUACAAAUAGAUCCAGAAACUAACAAAAAAUGCUAUUCAUCAAAUCCAUAAAUGCCGUCGGGGCAUUGGUCAACACAAAGGACAUCACCAAAAACUCAAAGUGCCCAUAAUAAGUACAAAAAGUUAUCUUAGGAAUAUCUACCUUCCUAAUUUUAAGCUGAUGAUACCUCGACCGAAGAUCUAUCUUAGAAAUGAAUUUGGCACCUUGCCACUGAUCAAACAAGUUAUUUGUCCUUAGAAGAAGAUACUUGUUCUUAACCAUCACCUUAUUUAACUGCCGAUAGUCAAUGCACAUCCGAAGGAACCAUCCUUCUUAUACACGAAUAACAUUGGUGCACCCCACAGGGAUAUACUAAGAUGGAUGAAACCCUUAUCCAAAAGAUCCUUAAGUUGCUUUUUGAGUUUGUUCAACUCAGUCAGAGCCAUUUUAUAAGGGGAAUAGAAAUCGAAUGAGUGUCUGAAACUAAGUCAAUCCCAAACUUAAUCUCCCUAUCCAGAGGAAUCAUCCAGAAAGACCUUCCGAGUUAGAAUCUUUAAACCGUAUUAGAUAAUAGAGACACCCUUUAGAGAUUAAUUUUUAAGAUCUAAGAUAUGAUAUAAACUUCCCAUUAGGAGCUAUGGAACCCCUCUCCUAUUCAAUAACCGGUUCACCAGGGAACCUAAAUACAAUCUUACGGAUCCGACAGUCUAAGGGCGCGUAGCAUGAGUAUAACCAAUCCAUACCUAGAAUAACAUCAAAAUCAACAACAUUUAAUUCAUAAAAAUCCACCAAAGUCUUCAUACUACCAACAAAUACCCCCUAUAGACUAAUUUAGCAAUCACAGAGUCACCUAAUAACCUCGGGAGCAAAACCAAAAUACACAUCCAUUAAUGGGAUCACAUAAGAGAGAGAAGUUCUUGGAUCAAGUAAAUAAUGCACAUCACAUGAAAAAAGUUUCAACAUACUAGUCACGACAUAAGGCGAUGCAUCAGACUCCUAUCGGGUAGUGAGUACAUAUAGACUAUUCUGACUAGUGCUGGUACCAGAGGCAGAAACAGAUGUAGAAGCACCACCCUUCGGUGCGAGAGUAGAUGAAAAGGCAACCUAAACCUUAUUCACCCCUAAAGAGAGCUUACUAAUCUGGCAAUUUAUCAGUAUAUGGCCUGGCUGACCAUAUUUGAAGCACUUGUCCUUCCCCUUAUCACAUAAACCUUGAUAUAACCAACCGUAAAACCUACAAGGAGGAUAUUAUAAGGUCGAAUAAGCCCCACUUGCCUAAAAUUGGGCACCUUAUGCCCUAAAGGUAUUGUUAGCCUGCUAACGCCUAUCACCCAAAGGCUUCGAGUAAAGAGCACUAGCUAUUGAGAAAGAAGCAGAACUCCCCCACUUCUUAUUUGGCCACUUGCCACUAUUUCUACCAUUUUACUGUUAAACACCCUACUCCGAAAACCUACACUUUUUACCCUGCCUUUCCCUUCCUCAGUUUACUUCAUUUUUUCUUCCUUUACUUGUUGCAUAUGAAUAACCAACCUACAAAUAUCCAUGUCCUUGAUUAGUAAGGUAGUUUUACUUUCCAGUAUCAACUCAUGAGAUAGUUUUGAAAUGAAAUUUCUCAUUCUAUCCCUCAUAUCGGACACCACUUCCAAUGAAUAGCUAGACAACUAGUGAAAUUUCAAGGCAUACUCUUUGACCAAUAUUUUCCCUUAUUUCAAAUUAACAAAUUCCUUCUCUUUCUCUUUCCUUAACUCCUGAGGAAAAAAAAGAUCAAGAAAUACAUAAAGAAAGUCUCCCACAAAGAUGACUCCUCAACAUCACCCUUUGACUUAUCAGAUCAUUGAAUCAUAAUCUGAAAAACGAACAAACAAGAUUUGAGAAGAUUCUAAGACUUAGACUCCAAUCUUGAAAAUAGAACACAAAGAAGAGAAAUAUUCCUAAGUGCCUUGUAGCCUCUCCCUUAUGAGUGUGGUACGCUACACACCCUUAAAAGAGACUCUACUCUACACGGCAUUAUGGACUUCCCAACUGACCAUAUACCUAAAGCUCCAAUACCCACUUGACAUGACCCAAACUAGGGACUUAUCAUAAUAGGCAUCUCAAGUCCAACCAGGAUCGGAGACCACAAUCGUUACCCAACCAACUAACCAACAUAUACUCUAAGUUGAAUAAAUUUUGCACAUAUAUAAAGAUCGCAUUUUAUAUAAUUCCAGACUUUAGGAUAUGUCCAUGACCGUGACCAACCUAAGAAAGUCCAGCCAUCUACUGCCAAUCAGUAACCACAGCCAAACUGAUAUAAUAACCAAGUUCAUGUCUAUAUUAACAUAAUAGGAAGGAAUAAUCAUAAGUACAGUAAAAGGGCAAUAGCCCCAAUACCAAUGACAGUACUAAGGCUGAUACCACUACCGACACCGCCCAUACUAACCCAUAAUAGAUCUACAAAGCCUCUAACUAAAAGUAAAAUAAUAUCCGAUCAGGAAAUGCUCCCAACCAUAGCCAAAACCAAUAUGCAUAAAAUAACCAAAGAAUUUAAAGAUAUCCAUUAUAUAAAAUGGAGCCUUCAGAAGUAUGCAGGUUUACCAUUUAAAUCCAACAGCUGAUCUUAAAAUCUAUCACUAAGAAAGAGGAGUAGAAUGGUUGGUUGUUGCAUUGCAUGGGGAUACAGUCGCUUGAAGAUGGGUUAGCGGGUGAAUGCUAGAAAGUCAUCAGGAUAAGGAUAUAUUAAUUUUAACCUUUAAAACUAAGUAAACAACCAUAUGCAUUCACAACCAUACAGAUAUAUAUAUAUAAUCAAUGCCGGUAAAGACAACUGGGUUUAGUAUACCUUUAAAAUAAUUAUUCUGGGUAUGUAUAGGUUAACCAUCCUAGAAAUACCCAUGAGCUAUAUGCUUCCAGUGUAACCCACUAAACAGGCUUCGAUAUAUAUAACUGCAUGAAUCAAAGAUGCCAUAGGGGUAAGGGAUUCUCGUGUACCCUUCCCCCUCCAUGAUACAUGUGUACAAGUGUACUUAAGGGAUUUUCUGUACCCUGUAAGUAUCAUAUAUAGUCUCCAUGACCAGUCCUUAUGUCGGAAAAUAUGAGUUUCCAGUGUCCUUACAUUGGAAUCACACCUUCAUGGUUAGCUGUCACACCCUACCAUUAUUGCCUAAUUAAAACCAUCACCACAUAACCAAAACUACUAUUCCAUUUAUUAUUAACCAAGGCUAUAAGUAGUGGUAUUGUCAUAUCUACUAUAGCUUACAAGCGAUGUCCUUUUCCAACUUUUUAGUGAAGAAAGGAUUCCCAUGUACCCAUAGAUUAUAUUAUUUAGUUGAUUGGGGGAUUUCCAUGUACCCCAUAAGAUGUUCAUUAUUAUGUCUACAUGGGGGAUCCCCUUGUACCCCUCAAGGAUGUUCUAUUAACCCAUAACCAUGACCACCAAGACCUUACGAUUUAACCAUUUUUACCAUUAGGGUUUUAUUACAAAGUUGUACUAUGCGACAAUUCCAUUAAAAGUCCAAUAAUAUAGUAAAAGUAUUCUUAUAGGUGUUUUAUCAAACAUGUUGUGGGUAUAGUAUUUCCAAAGCUAAUACAAAGU